AGGGGGAUGGAGGAGGGGGAGGAACCAAGGGAUGAAAGAAAGAAUGAAGGAACGAAAGAAGAAAGGAAAGGAAAAGGGGAAGGAAAGAAGGAACAAAGAGAGGAAAGAAAGAAGGAACAAAGGAAGGACAGAACAAAGGAACGAAGGAAUGAAGGAAGGGAAGAGAAGAGCGAAAAAGAUGUCACUUUCCAAACCAAGAAAUCAAAACUCAGAGGCUGAGGUGCUGAGAGCCUGGCACUAUCAGGAAGAAAAUGGUUGUAACAGAGUUUUGCUUUCCCAGCAGGAAUGGCAGCAGGGUGAACUGGUGAGCUAGAGUCCAUUAACACCUUACUGUGUCACAUUAUUCAAGUUUCUGCCUAAGGUGGCUUCUGUGUCCCCACCUGUGAGAUGGUGCAAAGUGGCCUUGGGUCCUCAGGAGUUUGUCCUUCAGAACAUUAGCAGACCUCCAGCAGCAACAAAGAAUCCCAGAACUUCACUCUGUGAUUAAUUCUCAGCUCUGCUCUUGGACAAUGAGGACAGUAAGAUGGGGGAGGGACAUGGGGAGGGGUUGACUUCAGGAAGCUGGGAGGCAGAGCCAUUGGAGAAUAUUCACAUGGUAUCUCUCUGAGGAGAAACUCUGCUGUAAUUAUCCUGGCUUGAGCCAUCCAUCUUGCCCAUCUAUGUAUGUCUUGUCAGAGAUGUAUGCCGUGCCAUCACGACCUAUGGUACUAUAUCAAUGAAUCUCCAUUCAAACAUCAAAGCCCAUUUUGCACAAUGGUCUUUAAGAUAAUUAAAAGCAAUGCCAUUGUCCUCCUGUCUGAAAUACUUCUGUGUUUCCCAAAUCAAGCCAGCACAGGUCCUGUGCAUAUGCCUCUCCACUGAAGCCCUUCUACUCCUCAAUGCCUAAGUCCCAAUCCUGUCCCCACCAUCUGUGAAAGAAUACUUACCUCGCACCUCCUUCUAUAAACACAGAGGUAGGGAUAUAGUCCUCUGAUUGCUGCGGGCAGGACAUUUAGAGUCUGAAGAAAAACGGGGAACCAAAUGUUCCUCAGAGUCCCUAGAGACCCACAAGGGUCUGGGACAUGGCUGUGUGUGAUGGGAAGCCCUAGACAUUCAGGACAGCCCUUCAGAGCUCAUUAUUUCUAUCAGGACAAUCACCAUGCCUGUUAUAAGACUAUUCUAGCUUGAAAUACCACCGUUGGGAGCAGGAAAGAUGACAUAUUGGGUAAAGGCUCUUCCAAGCCUGGAAAGCUGAAUUUGAUCCCUAGAUACCACCUAAGGUGGAAGAAUCAACACCAUAAAAUCAUCCUCUGGCUCAUGUACCCAUGAGCAUAUAUGUCCAUACACAUUAUAAUACACCCACUGGUGAUAAUAAUAAUAAAUUUAAGAAUACCUGGUUGGGAGCUGAUCUAAGGCAGGUAUCCUGACCAUGAAAACACCAAGCCAGGUUGAUAUCUUCCCAAGACUAUCUAGGUCCAAAUCUUCGUUACUUUAAGUCUUGAGUCAUUUCAGGCUCUUACAACCCUAAAUGGUCAGACCUUUCUUUUCUACAUCCUGCUAUCAUGCUGUCCAGAGAGCCAAGGGCCUGAGCCUCUGCACAGAACAAGGACUCUAACAAGACUGAUAGUGAUAAUAACAUUCCCAACCCCGGAUCAAUAGAGAGAUACAGGAAUAGAUGCUCACAAAGCCCCUGCACUCAUGCUUAUUGUCAUCCAGAACCCUGGAGCUUGUUUCUGGCCAGUGCCCUGAAACACUGGGGAAUUCAGGAGGAGCAAAAUCACUCUAGACACGACUCAAGAGUAAACAGCAUCUUCUCAAGAGCUCCCUCAUGUUGCUAGCCUCUCCACUCAGGCCAGUAAUAAUCUAUUUGAUUUUUCCCUUCUAGGAAAUCAUCAGUGGGCAGUAUUUUGUUGUUAUAGCGGUGAGGUGUUUUAUCCUUGGUGUUGUUGCUACUGGUAUUGUUUUAUGAGAAAAGGUCUCGUGUAGCCAAACUUUUUAUUCAGCCAAGGAUGAUCUUAAAUUUCUGAUCCUUCUGCCUCUCUCCACCUCUCCAAAUGCCAGAAUUUUAGUCAGACCUUACCAUCUCUCACUUAUGCAGUUCUGAGGAAUUGAACUCAGUGCAUGCUAGGCAAGCAUUUUGCCAAUUGAGCUAUAUUCCCAGCCCCAAGCAAUGGUUUCUUAUAACUUCACUAUUUUUGUUUGAUUGAUUUCUCUCAAACCACAGUCCUCCAGACUGACAGUUGAUAACCCAUAAACAAAUUAAAAUGAACCUAAAGUUGCAUUUAAAAGAACCUAAGGGAAUAUUUUUUAAUUUUUAUAGGCAAAUAAUUCUUCUUUAGUACAAAGAUGUUAGCUCCAAAUGGUGUAUUGCUUCAUAUAGAUAAAUGCAGACUUGUCUCUAAUCAAGCAGUAGUUUCUUGAUUGUUGGGGAUACAAAGAUAAAUAAAGCAGCAAGAGAGUUUAUAGCUGGAGAGGAAAGUCCCCCCUCUCAAAAAAAAAAAAAAACCUUUUUUUCCCCCAAAAGUGAGAAAUGUUAGGUAGCUUCAUAUAAGAUGUUUCAGGAGGUCAGCAGACAUAACAACCAGCUAGGAUGAUCGUCAAGAGGUUGAUGGGCAGAAAGCAGUUAAGAAGAGCAGUGGAGAAUAAACACAGUUGGAUCGCAGGGUAUUCCAUGGAAAGGGAGCAGCUCAAACAAUCUCAAAGCCAAGUGUGCAGUUCAACAACAUAAACACUACUCCGUUGGCUCUCUUUCCUGGAUUAGAUCUUCCUUAAUUCUAGUGUAGCUCCCAGUAACACCAAGCAGGCCUUCAUUCAAAUACAAGAUCAAAAGAACAUCAUCUCAUUAGCAGUCUCUAAUCCCAUGUGCCCAGCCCUGAGCAGUUCACCCUUAGGCCAAGGUCAACUCUUUCUCCUCUGAAUGACAUCAAUAGUGAAACCACAGCACGUAGUGGGUGAGGAAAUGCUUCUGUUGAAAUAGAACUAGGGAAUGGUGGUGUAAGGAAGACAGGAUGGCCAAUAUAGCAGACACCUCUGCCUCUGCUUUUCAAGAUAUGGUCAGUGCAGUUUGAGAGCAGCCUGAAUCAAGCCAGUGAAGAAUCUCAGUGUGAUUAAGAGCCCAUCCAUGCUUAUUAGGGAAGUGCAAGAAAGAGGGGGAAAUGGAGUAUAGGUUGAGGAUAAAUUGGCUAAUGCCAUAUUGAAUAUGGAUAAACCUGAGCAUGUGUGUAAGCUCCCAAGAAUACCCAGAGCAAGGAAACACUGAAGAUGUGAGAGAUGCUAGGCGUAUAAUUGAUGGAGAGAAGGCAGGGGUGGAAUGGAAGGCUGGGGUGGCUCUGAGGAGGAGUGGGACCCAUUCCCACUCCUAUCACAGGGGAAAAGACAAACUCGGAGAGGUCCAGAAGCUCGCUGUGAAUGAUGGUCUUUCUUAAAGCAAGACACACUGGUGAAGAAUUGUGGUUUCUUAGGAUUGAGUCUCAGUUUUGUACAGCUGUUGAGCCUCACUUCUUGGAUCAUUGGUCUGGUUCCUGUGCAUUUACACACCAUUUCCUGUGAAAUAUGUGGCCCUUCUUCCCAACCCUUUGAGAAAAUGGACCCACUUAAUUUCAUCACAGUGCCCUUGACAUCUGGCAGGCAGAAGGGAGAGCAGAGCACUGCCCCUCAUGUACUGCCUGUGUCUGUUUGCUGUCUUUGGCAUUCAUCCGUUGUGCUGAGUUACAAUAACCCCAGCAGGAUAUAGGCAGAGCUCUAACUGUGAUAGAGCAUGACCUCACAAAGUGUCUAUUCUUAGCAGAUAGGGAAGGAGCAAAGGCCUAUGGGUGCUCUUGUUGUCUGAUUGAUCAUCCAUUACUACUUCAUAAGCAUUUAUCUUCUCUUGGCGGGAAAGACAGAGAACUAAGGAAAUCAUGACUCCCUUUCCCAGCUUCCUUAAGAACUUUGAAGCCAGAUUGGUCUGGGCUUGAAAGCAUAUUCAAAUCUCUUGAAUGCAUAUUCAAAUCUCUUCAUCUAUCUGGGUGGUCUCAAGCACUAUUUUUUUGCUGAUGCAGAUCCACCAGGUCUCAUAUGGCCCUUAUUCUGGGUAUCUUGCUUUGUUUCCCUAUCAGGAAAAUGCUUCCAAUCACAACUUAGUUCUGCAUCUGAAAUAUUUUGAGCACCCUAACCAUCCCCUGGUCCUACACACCACAGAGCUUAGUUUUUCCAGAGUUCCCAUUUCACAUGCCAUGGAGGGAUACACAAAACUACAGCAUUCAUAUCUAACUCUGUCAUUGGCUUGAUCUUUCUCAUUAGCUGUCAAGAGAGGUAACAUGAUUUAAUUGGGAAGAAUAGAAAGGGUUAGCACCUAUAAAAAUAACUUUUAUUUGUUUCAGGUAAUUGUUAUCUCAAAGGCUUACUGCCUCCAUCUGCUAACCUAGGCCUAGUUCUAGAAGUUUCUACCCUCUGUACAAUCUUAUCUAGGUAUAGAAUGUUUUCACCCUCUGAGACUUACUGCUGAAUUAACUUACCUUUUCUAGCUCUUUCUGAACUCUGUUGGCUAGUUUAACUCAGCUGUUCUGACCCAAACUCCUCUUCAAUCUGACUGAUUCAAACUGGCUUCUCUCAGUUUCUGACUGAAUUGCUCUGUUUGGCUUCAUACUAACUUUGGGAAUAUGUUUUACUCUCCUUGUUCCUUCUCAUUAUCUGACUCGUUCUGUAUUCACCUGUGUCUAGCUUGUUCUCUCUUCAACCCAUCUCUGUAAAACUCUCCUGGUUAAACUUCCUUCUACCUCUCUCUGAACUGCUCUCUAAGUCACCUCUCUUUCCUCUAUGUUCUUGUGAGAGUUUUGGCAUGUCUUAUUCUGUCAAGUCUUUCUUUGAUUCACUUUAUUGACCCCUCAGUUAGAUGUCACUUUCAAACAUGGAUGCUUCUUUCUACAAACUAACUUUAUCUUAAUUGUUUGUGAUAAAAGGGGCAUAUUAAGAGUAUUUCCGUUUUCCAUCCAGAGCCAUUGUAGGUGUGUGCUAAGGCUGAGGCACACCACCACUAGAAACAGGUUUUUCUAGUAAACAACACAAUCUCAGAGUUCACACUGUCAUCAAAUAUCUUGCAACAAAUACCCACUGUGUUCUGAAUGUGAAACGUCAUCAGGAGUCUCACGUUUUGAAUGCUUGGUCCUCAUCUGUGAUGCUAUUCCAGGAGGUUGCGCCAACUGUAGGCUGUGGAACCUAAUAGGAAAAGUAUGUCAUUAAGGAGAGGUCUUAGGGGAUGCUGAGCCAGUUCCUGUUGUACUCUCUCCUUCCUGCCUACCAAAAAGUGAAGAGCCCGCUCUGCCGUGUGUGCUCUGCAGCCAUGAUAUACUUCCCGAGUCCAUGGAGCCAAGAAACCACAAACGUAACCCUCUGAAACCCCAGGCCAAGAUGAAACUUCCCUUGCUUUGUUUUUAUGAGGAAUGUUGGUCACAGUGGCAUAAAAGAAACUCAUGCAGUAUCCUGUGGGGUUGACUUUGAUUGGCCUAAACCAAAGUCAGAAAACAGCAAAAUACAUCUUUAUUUAAGUGUGGACUUGGUCCAUAAGCCACUGAAGACUAGAAGAAGCCUCUGAGUUGCUUGUGUGUCCAGCCCACACCGGAUUGUUUGAGAUGCAAAGAUCCAUGUGACCUCUUCGUCAGAGUCCUGUGUGACAGCAGGGACACAAUGCUUUCCUUCCAAGUUGUGCCAACCUCGAUCAUGUAUCACCUGCGUUCUGCCUUGCUUCAUACUCUCUAUUCAUUGAUUCACUGACCAGUUUUAAGUACAAAUGUUCCAGAACAUACCAGAUGCUAUUUCUUCCUUGCUGUGCUCUUCUCUUUUCCUUUAUAUGUGUUUCUUUGGGGUCAAGCUCUUACCAUCCAAUAAAGUGUCAGCAAGCAAGCUUUGCCUCAGGCUUUUCAGGAGAACUCAGCCCUCAUCUCUGUGCUUUGGUUUCUUUAUUUAUAGAAUUGACCUAAUGGGAGCUCUCUCACAGGACUACUGGGAAAUUAAGUGAGACCUUGUGUCUUAAACAUAUAAUCUAGAGUGGUGAAUUACAGAAGCUCAAUAAAUAUGAAAAGCAUUAAUAUCCACAAUCACAGCACAAUGGUAGUUACUUCUUAUUGGGUGGCUGAUACGUGCCAGGGUUUUAUUGAUAUUGUUAUUGGCAGAAAGAACAUCGUAAGUGUGGGGGAAUAAGAUUGAGUGUAUACUCUGUGGCCAACAUGAAGCAGAAUCUCCAUGCAGCUAUUUAGGAACCACAGUGAUAACUAACAAGGAAGGAAGAGGCUGGUGGACACAGCUCAGCCAGCAACGCGUUUGCCUUGUGAUCAUGAAGAACCGAGUUUGAUCAUCAGAACCCACAUAAAAAGACAUUUGCAGUAGAGCACAGUUGUAAUCCCAGUGCUUGAGAUGGGAGGAGCCCUGGAGCUUGUGAGCUAGCCAGAUCAACCUAAUGGGCAAGCUCCAGGCCAAUGAGAGACUCUGCUUCAAAAUGAAAAUGGAUGGUAUUUCUGACGAAUGACAGCUGAGGUUGUCCUCUCUCUUGCAUAGGCAUGCUUACAUAUAUGUUUGGUCACACAAACACAUGUGCAUACAGAUACACACGCGCACAUACACACAGAGAGAGAGACAGAGCAGAGACACAGAGAGAGACAGAGACACAGACAGAGAUAGAUAGAUAGAUAGAUAGGUAGGUAGAUAGAUAGAUAGAUAGAUAGAUAGAUAGAUAGAUAGAUAAUAAAAGAAGAACUGACCUUUGAGCUUUAUGUCAUAGGUAUAAUUUGGUACAUCAGGUUGCUGGAAAGGAAGUACUGGCCAGAUGAGUUGGUACAAAUUGAAGGGGAGAUGUCACCCUUUUGAUUCCAUAAUAAACAGAGAAGCAGGAAGUAAGAACAGAGACAAGCCCUUUGGUGGAAAAGAACGAAAGCUAAAAAAUAAAAAAUAAUAAUAAUACUUUGUCAGUCUCAAAGCUAGGAUUGCCUAGUCAGGCCCAGCCACUUCACCAUACAGACCAUACAGCUAUUUUUUUUAAAUAUGCUAAAGUUGCACUAUUACCUAAGCAGAAUAUGUUCUGAGAAAAUAAUAACAACUAACAUUCAUAGAAAGUUUAUUACAUGCCAGGUGCUGUGCUGAACUCUUCAUAAACUCUCCUCAUUUCAUCCUCUGAAAAUGCUUAAGGUGCCAAGCAGUCCUGGCUCCCUACACAUCCAAACAAAGGAGCUCAGAAAUUGUGAGAAUUGGCAGAAAUCUUGGGGAGAAGCUUUUGAUUAGGAAAGGCAAUAAGCCCCAAAUGUCUCUGGAAAGGUUGAUCGAUUGAAACGUGAUGUAGGAAGUGUUACUGACUGACCUGACCAUCUCUUCCUGCUCCAACAGGACUGCUUGACUAUAGCUUUCAAGCAGAGCACUCCCAGGAUGCAGCAGGAGAUCCAAGGGGGAAGCUGGAGGUCGGGGGUAGGGGGAUACUUCAGAUCUCCUGCCCCUGGUUUUACUAGAGAAAAGUGUGCUCAAGUACUGCUUACAGCAGAUUUGUAUGGCAUUUUAUUAGACUGCAAGGCUCUGUGGCUUUAAACUUAGAGAAUGACUGGCAUGGUGCGGGACCCCACUGCUAAAUGUGAAUAUUAGGUGGCACGAGUGUACACUGACCUCCAGUAUAGAUAAUAAUCUCAUUCCACCCGUGAAGAGCAAGCUGCAGGGCUAUAGAGGAUGGUAUUUGAUUUGGGUAUUAUUCUGGUUAGUUGUUAAGGAUGUGACACAGAGUAGAGAAACCUAGGAGGUGGGAAUCACAACCCAGAGAAUGCUUCCAUUGGUUGGCCUGUCUGUGGGGCAGUUUUUGAUUGAUGGUUGAUGUGAGAGAACCUGUGUCUCUGAGAUAGAGCUACCCCUAGUCUGAUGGCCCUGAGUUAUAAAUGGAAGCAACCCAAACAAGCCCAUAAACAGCCUUUAGGUUCCUGCCUUUAGGUUCCUGCCUUGAAUUCCAGUCCUGAGUUCCCUCAGUAAUGGAUCGUGACCUUGGAGUUCUAAGGAUGCAACAAACCCUUUUCUCCCCAAGUAUAUUCCAGUCAGUGUUUUAUAUGUAAUCCAGAGUUCAUCCUGGAUUACAAAGACAAGAAUGAAACCCUGAAGAUAGUGAGAACUGGAAGGUGCUGGUCCUGCGUGGCAGCAAGGAUGAGCUUUACUAGCCCACCCCUGGACAUGGACACAAGGGUAGGUCAACUGAUCACUAACAGAUACACUCACUUCUAGAGUGAAGAGAGGCCUUUAGUCAAGAUGUCUUUUCUUUGGAGUGAUAGAGAAAAAUGUCUUUGCCUUUUCACUGUCCUUCCAGAGAUCUUUUUUAAAGUUGCACAAGAACACAGUCCACAUGAGAAGAAAUGAAAACUUUGGCUACUGGCAUUCACUGUGCAUCUGUCACAGAGACUGGGGUAGUGUGACUGGCUCUGUAACCAGUUACCAUGUUACCAUGUUCCUGGCUCCUGUUCCUCCCUUGGCCAUCCUCUCUCAGGUUUCUCAGCUCUCUGCGGUUUUCUCCAGAGGCGUUCUUUUCCCAUAGGUAAAGCAGGUUCACACCUUCCCCAUGUGACACACUGUCCCUCACCCUUGCUAACCUUUGUGCAUUGUUUGUGGAGCUCCAGAAGAUAUCAGCCUUUUUACUUAUGUUCAGAGAAGUGUUCUCCCCAGAUGAUUAUCUCUCCACCCCCAAAAUUUAUUGAGUGCCUCCAACACGCCUGGCCGCUUGCCCAUUGCUAAUUGGGGAGUGAUAAACCGACCCACCUCCUGCCCUCAUGGAGUUUAUGGUCUGAGAAAAGAAAACGUCAAUAAAAAAACAAUUAAAUUCACAGUGAAGUUUAUGAAGAUGAACAGAAGAGGAUGCUGUGAGGAAGAAAAGUCAAUUUGGGGAUAGGACAGUUUCAUCAGUUCAAUGGGAGGAUAGGUUCUCUAGGUGGAAACGGCAUCCUCAGUAGAAAUCAGCCAUCCGUGUCAGUCAGGCUAACACUGCUUCAUGUCAAUGUAAUAUGAAGCCAGUGGCUCAACCUACCUCAUCCUGAUAAAAGCACCCAUCUUGUUAAACUCAGUGUAGUGCCUGGCUCACGGUGGUGGUUUAAUUAAUAUGUUCUGUUGUUGAUUUCGCACCUCUAUAAUCAUACUAGAAUAUGGUUGCUCUGAGGGAAAAUAUGUCUGCAUAAUAAAUUUUUCAUCCUAAUCACAGAAUACAUAGUUUACACCACCUACUGCAGCAUGGCAUAUUUUAAAUUUUAUUUUAUUUUUCACAUGUCUGGGUGUUUUAGCUACAUGUAUGUCUGUGUGCUAUGUCUGGUACCCAUGGAGGCCAGACUAAGGUUAUGUUUCCCUGGAAUUGGAGUUUUAGACAGUUUUGAAAUGCUGGGAAUAGAGCCUUUGUUCUCUGGAAGAACAACCAGUCCUCUUGACUGCUGAGUCAUCCCUCUAGUCCCUAACCCCAUGCUGUAGUUUGAAUAAUAACAUCUAACAUUUAUAAGAGCUCUUGCUCUAUGUCAGGAGCUGUUAUCAGCACUUAGUGGGUAUCAACACCAAAAUAAUCCUAUGCCACUGGUCUUAUCUCCAGUCACUCCCGCUUGUGUGGUAAAUAAACUGAGGCCUCAGGAGGGUUUGUCAUGUCUUCAGGAUCAUAUGAUCAAAAUUAGAGGAACCUGGUUCCACCCGAAGCAGGUGGCUCAUCUAGGGCAUUUGCUCUGAGGCACUUGUUGGAGACAUAUCCAUCAAGUAUAAGGAUAGAGUCUGUGGGUUCAUGUCCUUAUUUGGGCAUAGGCUCUAAAAGUCAGUUUUUCCUAGUCAUUUCAACAUCAUCUUACUAAGUGUGAAUAAGCAAACAUGUGACAUAAAGUGAAUUAAGUUCUUUACCUCUCAGUUGUCACUGAAGAGGUUCUUGGGGACUUUAGGUUUAGGACAUGUGUGUGAACAGAUCAAACUAUUUUCUGUCUUGUUCAUUCUUCCUCUAGACCCCCUCCUCUACCUCUACUACUUCCUCUAUCCUCUGAUCUCACACUACAUGCUUCCUCCCUACUUCUGGCAAGCUUUACUCUCUCCCACACACACACUUUCUCUCUUAUGAAAGGACCUUCACCCGAAGGCAUCUGCGAGAAGAGAAGCAUGACUGCCAACUCACCCUGGGAAGCCCAAAUGCUUAAAUUGCUUCUUUUAUUUUCAAAAAAUAUAGUCUGUGUUAUUUGGAAUGGAGAAUGGACUCCCCUAGUCUUUGCGGACCUGCUGUUCUGGGAUAUUUUGUUAGAAACAACAGGAGAGGACACUGCCUCACAUCCCCACAGCUCUUCUUGCUACGGAAAGUGUAAUAAACUGCCAAGAGAGCAGGGGCCACUGCUGUUCUCUUGAUGAAUGUUUUUGAAGCUGGGGGAAUACAGCUGCCUUGAGAGGCCCAUUCCAAUUAUCCAAUUAUGGAAGGAGGGCAUCUUGGGAGAGACCAUCACAACUCUGGAUGGUAACAUGGUCUCCAGGGUGCUUGAAUAUCAUCCACUGGGGGUAUUUAUUUUUGAUGGAAAUAUGGUACUAAACUAAGGAAUACUAUAAUAAUAGUCAGGGAGCACCAGGUACAAAAUGAGGAGAAGAAGAAAAGGGAUUGGAAGGCUAAGCAAAAUAGACCAUCUCACUAAAGGUGCAACCUAAUGAAUUAAUGAGUGUUAAUUGGGGCCCCCUAGGAGGUGUUGACCUCCAUCACAAGCACAGGGCAGUACAUUUGGGAUCCAAAGACCUGGUUUCAAGUGCAGUUCUAAUCACUGCCAGUGGGAUCCUGAGUGAUGACUCUCUAUUCUCUCAAAUGCUAAGACCAUACCUCCUAUCCUGUGAUUUAACAAGGUUGUGUGAUUGCUAAUGGUGUAACCACUUAAUUGGACUUACAUCCAAAGCAACUGUGCAGACAGUAGCAUGUGCUUCCAAGCCAAGAAAUACUAUCAAUUAACAGUGAUUACUGGAGUCAGGAACUAAAGUUGUUAUGGGUGGAAUUAGUUUUGCUUUCUACUUUCCCUUCUGUUUUCUGCCUCUUUGUUUUGUCUUCCUUUCCCUUCCUCUGCUCUCCUCACCUUUCCUCUUCUCUCCUAUUGCAGUUAGUAUAUUUAUUUAACAUCUCUCCCCCAUCCCGUCCCCUGAUAGAAAAUGGACAGUCCAACAUGGCACCCUGGAUCUCUGCAUCCACAAAUCCCAUAGUCACUUCAAUUUUUUAGUUCAAAGUACAGACAUCAAGAAAAAGAACCGGAUUAGCCCAGCUUUGGCCAGAGGAAUGGAUAUGAGUGUGUGGUCACAGUCGCUUAACCAGACCAUGGCGUCAACUUCCCAGCAAAUGUUGUUGUGGGUCAACAGAUAUGAGAACAGUACUUGGGCAGCCUAUGACGUGAUGGGAGAUUUCUUGGUAUGAUCUGUGAGCUCAAGGUUCAGUAUAUGCUAUCAAAACAUACUGUGAAGGAAGCUAAAAAUUCAACAGGAGGGAGAAAAUUGGUGCUAUUUCUGUGUUUGCAUGAACUGUCCUGGGAAAUAGAACAAUUGUUUACAAAGACCACUGAAAAGCAAGCAGAGGUUAGCUGCUGGGGGGAAAAAGGAGAGUGAUCACCCCUGAAAGCAAUUGCCAAGUCAAUCUUCUGUCCUUUUCUUUACUGUGGAUUCUGUCUGCCCAGAAUCCAUAGCAAAGGAAGCCAGGGUUUAGGAACCCCACCCAGAAAAGAAAGCUGCCAGAGUUCCAAUACUCCAGUGCCCACAAAUCCGUGAUCUCAUCUUAGCUGACGUUAUGCAGGUUUCUGUUUCUGAGGGUUCUAAUUUCCCUUCCAUUCUCACUGUGUUGAGUGCUGGGACUGAGAUCUCUCUCAUUCCCAUCUCUUAGACUGCAUCAUCCCCAAGGAUCUGCAUUUGCUCACUGCACUCAACCCUCAGUAAGGGAUAAUUGCAUUCUAGAUAGAAGGACAUGUUUUGCCUGACUGGAAAGAGACAGACAGCUCUGAACAUGAAUCAAGGCAGCGAAGCUCCUACUUAGGCCAUCUUUGUGGAUUCCAUCAUUUAGAAUUCAAAGCUUGGCAGCCAGGGCACGCACUAGUCUAGCUGUGGUCUUCCAUGGUGCCAACUGAUUGGCCUCCCUGUUAAGAUCCCAGAAGAUCUUGAAGCCGAAGCUACAAAGCUGAUGUCAAAAUCCUUUCCAUCUGAACGUCACAGAGCCCCAGAGAGGCAGAGAGAUCUGUUAGUCAGAUUUCCGUGGCCAUAACAAAUACCCGAGAGAAAUCAACUUAUGAAAUGGAAAGGUUUAUUUUGGCCAGCCGUUCUGCAGGUUUUAGUCUAUAAUUGGUUGGUCUCAUCGCUUCAGGGUCUGUGAUGAGCUCCAAAGUAUAGAGUAAAGCUGUCCACCUUGUGGCCAGAAAGUAAAGGAGGACAGGAAGAAGGAUUAGGGUCCUACAGUGUCCUUCUAGGUCAUGAAACCUAUGGUCUAAUACCUCUCAAUAGAUCCCACUUUUAAAACUCUCACCUCCUCCCAAUGUCACCAUGGGCUAGAGACCAAGUCAUUGACACAUGAGCCUUCCAGGAACACUCCAGAUCCCUCUAUAUCAAGUGUACUAUGAGACACUAACAUUCUAGCAGCCUUGCAAGAGAGAAUGAAUAAAGUCAUGGUCUUAUGAUGAAUUGGGUGAGGUGAUAUUUGGUUAUGGCAUAGUCAGAACAUAUUCCCCAGAGUUUAUAGAAUGCACAAUUUAUAGAAUGGACAAAGGACUUUGAUGCCUCUACUUUCCAUGUUUGAAUUAAAACACUCAUCUAGUUUGACCUAAGCAAAAAAGGAUACAUUCUGAGCCCCCAAACUGGCGUGUGUCUUUCCAUGUCAAAUGCUACAUGGAGGAAUAUUUCAUCAGCAACGAGGAUAGCUUUAAGUUUUACUGGGUAGACUUUUCUGGGUAGCCAUUGCUCUUCUGGUGGGAAAAAUGAGCCAGGUACCUGACUGGGGGAUGGAUGUCAGCCAAGAAUCAGAUUAUUUUAAUACCAGCCUUUGCUCAGACUUAUUAUACACUGUCUCUGGAUGUGCCCCCAAUAUGUCUGAUAGCAGACUAGUUUCUUCUAGCCCUAACAGAGUAAGGAGCAGCUUCAGAACAUGCCAGUGACAAGCACCUUUCUCCUGUAUAGGAUCACAGAUGACAGGUAGUUGGCUGACUCCCAUAUUGGCAAGUUCAAAUUCUCCAACAGCAUCUUACUCGCCCCAGUACCACUGUUUUGCAUACUAACUGACUUCCUACUUCACUCAUUGAGAAAACAGGCACACGGCACUCCUUAUCUAUGUCAGCACAUGUCUCCAAAGCCAGAAGUUAGAGGCUGGGCCACGGUGCAGAGAAACUAUCACAUGGGCUGAUGCAUAGCUGUGGCCCCUGAUGAAUGAGAAUUUCCUAAGUUGUCUGAUAUCAGAAUUUCCAGGAAGAUGUGGGACCAGCUCUGUCUGCAUGGAUAUAAAGCAAAUGUGUCUGUGCACCUCUCUCUCUCUCUCUCUCUCUCUCUCUCUCUCUCUCUCUCUCUCUCUCUCUCCCUCCCUCUCUCUCUCUCUCUCUCUCUCUCUCUCUCUCUCUGUGUGUGUGUGUGUGCGUGUGUAUGUGUGUGUUUGUCUGUCUGUCUCUCUCUAUGUUUGUGUGUGCAUGAGUACAUGUGUGUGAAUGCAUAUGUGUGUACAUGUGUGUUUUAAUGCAUAACUUUGUGUGUGCACAUGUGAAUAUAUGUGUGCACAAGUGUAUGUAGGAAAGUGCAUUCACAGUCAACCCUAUAGGCAGCAGUGUAGUGACGGACUUGGCCCUUAGCAUCUCCUAGAAUGGAUUCUCAUUACAAAUCUACCACUUAAUAGUCAGAAAAAUAUUUAGCUUCUAGAGUCUUGGAUACCUUCCCUGGAGGAAGGAUGCUAGUGAAAACAGAACUCAUCAACUAGAGAGGUUGGGCAAAUGGCUUCCUACACAGAGCCCCUCAGUGCAUUGAACUACUUUCCCAAGUAAGGAAUAUUGUAAGCAGUGAUGGGACUCAUACGAGUGAGCCUGAGCACACUUGGGUGACUCUCAUCACUCAGAUUCUCUGCCCAGCCUGAGACUCUCCACACAAUGGCUUCAAGUAGCUACAAUGAACAACAAUCUGCAGCUAGAGCAGGGAUCUUGCUACCCCUGAGACAGCUGUGAAACAGGCCCAAAACGGCUUUAGGGGGAUGUCACAGUAACAGAGGGUGGUGGAAGAGGUUACCUGUAGCUAUCUUCUGGCUUCUGUGUGCACAUAUGCUGCUGCGACAUGUCUUCUGUGCUUGAGAAUUACCUGGGGGAGCUUGCAAGCUUAGAUACAUGGGGUCUGUCUGUAGAGAUGUCCUGAGGCAGAGCUGUAACAUGUCAGUUGCUGAGAACUCCACAAGCAUAACGGAUGACAGCAAACCCUAUUGGUACUGUUUGUAUUCCUCUCAGAGCUGAGGCUACAAUGUUUGCAGAAACACCAGGCUUGUUACAUGGGCACAGUGGAUCUCAACUCUAAUCCUAUGAGGUAAAGAAAGUGUUCUCAACCUGGGAACUAUCUCUCCUCUCCCUCCCCUACCACCUUCUUUUUGAGACAAGGUUAUAUGGUGCAGGCUGGCCUGGAACUCAUUACACAGCCCUAGCUGUCCUUCAACUCCAAUUCUUCCUACCUCAGCAUCCUGAGUUCCAGAACCAUAGAUGUGUAUGCCACAUUUGAGUUUGCCACAUUUCAAUCUCCAACUGGACCCAAACAUGCCCUCCUAUGAACCUCACCCAUUAGCAGGAGAUAUCUUGGGAAUUUGAUUCUCGUAUCAUGUCCGAACUGUGGUUGUAUAAUUCAAUGUUAUCAAUAUGCUCCACCUGGUAUCCAUAGAACAUUAUGCACAGAUUUUUCAAUAGCGAAGAAGCAGACAAGCAACCCUUUAUGUUUAAAUCAAUUGGGAAGAUCUAGACAAACCAAACUCGAAAUUUGAAUAGGUUUCUUUAUUGCAGGAUUUAUGAUGCUUCUGUGUGCAAAUAUGUACUCUGAAAUCCACAGCAGGCAGUGUUUUCCCAACUUAUUGGCUACAAAAUACUUUAUUGGUCAGACACCUAGUAACAUUUCAUAAACCUGGUGAGCUUUAAAAGCCCUUUAGGGAAACGCUACCUUAGAUUUACUUCUACGGAAUUGAGACAAGCAUAGAGACAGAUUGGAAAAGAGACCACCAGCUGGAAGUUUUUUAGCAGCAUGCAAAGAAGGGGAAGCCUUCACAGAACAUCAUAAACUGUUCAUGUGUCAGCAGCAAUGAGUGAGGAAGACAGGCCUGAAAAAAGAUGGUCAAAGGUGCUAAUUUGCCAUGGUUUUGAGAAAUAAGGGGAAUAAUUUCUAUGGCUGCUGGAAAUGAAGAAAUGACUGCCCCCCUCCUGUGUUUAUAGUACCAGGGAGAAAGGUUGGAGCUAAAAUAUUCUUGCAGAGUCAAAGGUCUCUGGAAAUGGGCCACCAGAAUGGAUGUCACUCUGCCAGAGAGAUGGUUUCUUCUCCUUGUAGCUACUAUUUUUGAAAAAGAAAGAAUCCCUGAACUAAUGGAGGGGGGGGGGGUGAUUCCAGCCGGGCUAAGCAUCCCAGGCAAAAGGUAGCAGGAUGCUUGUUUUGAUAUUUGUUUUACCAGAAGGAUUUGACAUUUAUUUCCCGGAAAUCUGUAAACUUGAGGUGGGGGCAUGGUAGCAUUUUAAGUUCUGGGUGGAUUCCUGAUCCUGUCUUAAUAAAGAAAUAUGGUUGUGCUGCUUCUCUUCAGUACAUAUGGGUUCCUAAAGGCUGGGUCCCACUGAUUAGGAUGCUAUUGUCCAUAUAUGGAAAACCCAAAUAUUGACUGUGGUGUGUUGAUUGUGAAGUUUCUGCUAACUCAUAGAUGGUAGUUGGCAGAUCCCACAGCUCUGCCAUACCCCUUGGAUACAGGACCAUCCACUCAGGAUAAGUAUGUGUAUCCACUAUCUACCACACUAAUGAAGGGGAAUGACAUCUGAAUUUCUGUCGUGUGUUUUAAGACCGAGACUGACCCUAUCGUUAGAGCCUUUGGCACAGCUUCAUCAGGGAGGCAUGCAUUUCAAGGAACACGAGAGUUCAUUUUAGUGGAACUCGAUUUACUGUCCUCUUGGGUGCUCUUUUGGUUGAGGCUUAGCUGCUUGUACUCUUUCCAAACAACUUGGAGUGCUGAAGGGAGAGGGAUUUAUUGCUAGGUCUUAGGUUUCUUGAAAAUCGACAGGGAUGAAAGAGUAGGCUAAGCUAUUUGUAACAAUCCCUAGUUCUUAGAAUCUCACCUCCUGCUUCUGUGGGUCUGGGGGAAGGUGUCUCUGACUCUCUAGGGUCUCCCUAGCCUUUGUCUUCCACCUCACCAAUUAGCAAAAUCUAAGGUAGAUCUUAUAGGAGUAUAUCCAUGGAAAAAGAGAGAGGCCCCAAGGAGAUGUACAGGCUGAAGUGCAAGGAUUUGCAAGGGUGGGGAGACGAGAAGCAUAGCUGAUUGGAGAAGCAACAAAGAGGGCGGACUAGAUCCUGGUGAUCCAGCCACAAAGGGACAUCCCUGCAGGGAACUAUCAUCUGGAUUUGUUUGCAUCUACUGUAUCACUGUUUGUGCUGCCUACAUCCAAAGAGUCUUGGCCAAGGCAAGGCAAUGGCUAUUGAAGCCAGCGUCCCCAUUGCUGCAUCUCACUCUGUACCGUGCUCCACUGUCUUCUGCCAAGACUGUAAAACGGACACUGGUACCAUGUAUCCAGGUAGGAGUCCUCAGCCUUCCCUUCAACACUCAAUGAUGCCUAGUUGUACAGCCCAAGGGACCAUCAAAUGGUUAAGCAGGCAGCCCACCCUCUACUAAAUGCCUGCCCCACUCUGUGUCUUAUGACCUGCUUACCUCACUGUGUGUACGUAAAGCUGUCUAUUGCUGAAUCUUUCCUGUGUUCAAGAGCACUGUGUGAAAAUAGAUGGGGUGUUACUGUUAUGAGGUUAAGCCCUUUUCACUAGGCUGAUGAAUAACCUAAUAGGGAAGUAUUUUCUUUCUUUCUUUCUUUCUUUCUUUCUUUCUUUCUUUCUUUCUUUCUUUCUUUCUUCCUUCUUUCCUUCCUUCCUUCCUUCCUUUCUUCUUUCUUUCUUUCUUUCUUUCUUUCUUUCUUUCUUUCUUUCUUUCUUUCUUUCUCUCUUUCUUUCCUUAGUUUGCCAUGGGUCAAAAAAUAGUAUUUAGAUGGUUACUCCUGCCCCAGUAGUAGCAGAUGAAGCACAUCAGGGCAUACAUUGUAUCAUGUGUGCAUGGGUGCUCAGUGUCAGAGGGCAUGUGGCUGAGAUGUUGGGUAGAUAUAUCUUCUUAUAGUUACUCGUAUGCUCUUCAGAGGCCUGUGUGUCUCAUGGGACUCCCUAUGAAGUAAUGUUCCCAAGAGGCAAACAGAUCCAGAAAAAAACAUUCCUGUGGGAAUCCAGCUCAGCAGAACUCAUCUUAGGUGUGGUGAGUGUGGGGCUUUCCUCCUCUCCUAGAUUUGCUCCACCAUGAACACACACUAGCCCGUUGUCCCUCUUCAUACUUGAAGAAUGCAGAUAUUUAGGAGUGACGGAGCUGGCCAAGUUAGAGCUGGGACUAAUUUGGUUCAGUGUGGAUUAGAUGCUUGUAGGUUGAUGUCUUUAUGCAGGUGAAGGCAGACAAGUUAGGUCAAGGUCAUGAUUGGACAGUUAAAAAAUAAGGCAGGGGCAAAGCUUUUGUAAGGCAGGAGAGAAGGAAAGAAAGGAAGAAUCAAGAUGGAGAUGGGGAAAGAUCACCCAAAUCUGGGUAGUGUUGAUUUGCCAAGAUAGCUGGGAUGGAUUUCUGUAGGCAAAUUUAUCUUAUCUAGGAGGGCGGUUUAUAUAUUUAUCAAUUGGUUGUAAGUUCACUGUGUGGAUUUAUUGUGGAUUGAGAAUUUAACAUAUAAAUCUGAUUGUUGGGUUACAGUUUGUUGAGUCUUGAUUUUACUGGGUAGUUUUACUACCAGGGGGCGGUUGCUGGGAGUGUGGGCAGAGUCCAUGGCAGGGAGCAGAGAUAGGCCAACUGCUGCUGGACUUCUAGAGCUCAGGGUAGUUGGAACCAGAGAGUUUAAGGCUAGUGGAGAGCCACCGGGAGAGAUACUAAUCUGAGGUAAAUUAGGGCUAGUUCCAAUGACCCAUUGGAGCCAGAACUAGCGACUGCCAGGGUACUGUCGGGAACUGGUUCAGCCUUUUUUAUUUUUACCGCAACAGAUGUUAACUUACCUUAUGGCAACUGGGUUAAGUUUAUGAAAUGCACGAUAGCCUUAGGAGAAAGGGAGAGUUGGGAUUAUGUUCCCAAUGGAAUAAGCAGGGUCUUAAGAAGUUAAAGUUCGUUCCAUCCCAUCUCUCCCUGAAGUAUCAUUGUACCAUGUGAUAUUACUUUGUACAGUUUUAGAAGUUGUGUAUGUCACAAAUACAAAGAAUUCUAGCCAUGUAUACUAUGACUCUUUUAAGGUUUAUAAACUGCUCAGUUGUAUAAAAUAAGCUAAAUAAUGGGGGAAGAAAAAUACAUCCUUAUAUGGAUAGCAUGAGGCCGUCUGCAUAGCAGUUGAAGGACAUUAUUGAGACUGUAUUUUGUGUGAGUUUUUUUUUUUAUCACUACUGUGACAAAAUAUCUGCAACACAGUGACUUAAAAGAUAAAGAAUUUAUUUUGGUUCAUAGAUUGAGGGUACAGUCAAUCAAGGCAAAGUGGGCAGGGUAGCAAGAGCAUAUAGAGGCUGGUCAGACUGAAGCAGAAAGAGAUGAAGCUGGCACCUAGUCACUUCAUCGUCAUUGACUCUGGAACUCUAUCCCAACAUUCAACUCUAUCCCCCUUCACUGUAAAUAUCCUCAUAAACAUACCAUUAUUCCAUAGGUUAUCCUAUAGGUUACUCUAAAUCUAUGGGAGGUCCUGAUCAAGAGUAAGUGUCACAAGAAACUGAAAACAGGUUUCCUUCUGAAAUAUGUUCCUUUAUGUGUCUGAGGUCUUCUUAUAGAGAAGGGACUCUGUCAUGGUUAAUCCUGAUGGCAAACUUGAUUGUUUUUAGAGACAGCCAGGGAGGCGAACUGUUCCAUGAGGGUAUUUCUAGAGACACUUAGAUGGGGAAGGCAUUGACCUACUGGAUACAUCACGUUAUUGAUGGACUGAACAGGUGCAGAGACUUUUGGAAAGUGAUAGAACUAGAGAAGAUGGGGCCUCAUGAGGAAAUGGGUCAUUGGAGUUGUGGCUCUGAAGAAUGUAUCUGGGCUCUGGGCUCUGAUUACCACCCCCCCUCUCUCUCUCCACCCGCCUGCCCCCUCUCACUGCUUCUUGGCUUCCAUGAGGCGAGUAAUUAUCCUCUGCAUCUUUCUACAUGAUGCUCUGUCUCAUCAUGGUACAAGCAUGAUGGAGCCAACUGAUUAUGGACUAGAGCCUCCAAAAUCAUGAGCUUAUCACAUGGACUCAGCUGUGUUCCCCAAAGGAGGUCCUUACAGGGCACACCCAUUCCUCAGUCUCUAGUCUUUUUCUGUGUUUCCUCCCCUAGCUUCAUGCUGCAUGCUCUGACUCUCACCGGGAGAUGAUCAGAUAAGAUACUUCCAAUUUGCUCUACCCCAUCAGACUAUGACCACACUCUGAUUCUGGUGGCAAGGGCACAAUCUCUCAUCUUCCUGAGGCUCACUCUGGGAGUCCACCCUGAGUUUCAGCCUCAUUACUCCCACUGUGGCAAAGCCAGCUGGCAGUGGUCUCGCCCCAUUAUGUUGCUGAGCUAGGACAAAGAGAGGUUAAGCACGGCUGUGAUGGUGCUGCAUCUGCUGAAAACUUUUCUGCACCAUCUCUUUAGGGACACUCAGAAGAGCCUCAGCUCAGCAUCUGCUGCUUCCUCAAACUCAAGCAUCUUCACUCCGGGGAGAUGGAUUUGAACUUGAUAAUGAGACAAAGGCCAUUGAGGGAUGGAUAUAAGUCAAGUCAAUCAAAGUGAGAUGUGACUGCAGAAAUGGGAAGCAAGGACUCUUGGGUACCUUAAAACCUGUCGAUGAUUGUAUAUAUUCUCAAGCUAGAACUAGACUAAAAUUGAGAAAUAUUCAAAAUCAUUGAUAAUGUCCAUCAAAAUUACCAAGGUCACGAAGUCCAGCAGAAUAGGGAGAGCUCAUGGGUGGGAAGAGCCUCAAGAGACAGCUGCAUUCAAAGUAAGGUUCUAGACUGGAUACUGAUGUGCAAAGGGGAGACUAAUAAAGAAACUGAUAAAAUUCUAAUAAAUUAGCAUGACUGUGGUAGCUUGCACAUGGAAAUCUGGUGCUUUGAGAGCUGAGGCAGGUGGAUCAUAAUUUCUAAACCAGCUUGGGCCACAUAACAAGCUAUCUUAAAACAACUGGAAUCACCAAAAAAAUUUUUUUAAUGAGGUCUAGUGUUUAGUUAAUAAUAUAGCAAUGUUAAUUUCCAGAUUUUGAUAAUUAUACUGUGGCUAUGCAGAUUGCUCACAUCAGGAGGAAGUGAGUAAAAACACCUGUGAGCUUUCCAAUUUUUUGUCAUUUCUUUAUAAACCUAAAAUUAUGUUUUAAAAGUGGUUUCCCCCAACAUAACAUUUUUAUUAACUAUUUGAGAAUUUGGUACAAUGCAGCCCAAUCACACAUUCCUUCCUAUUCCAUCCCAUGAUUGUGCACUCCCCCCUCCAAAAUAAAGUAAAUAAAAACACAAGUCCAAUUUGCGUUGCCAAUAUUCUCAUUGCAGCACGGUGGAACUCCCAGUGGCCAGCGCCUUAAAGACAAGAGAAUCCUUCCCCAGCCCCACACCCUAGCCCCUGCCAGAAGCCAGCAACUGUAAAGAGCUACACUUCAACAUCUUUAUCACAGUUUUUAAGGACUCUCCUGUCUCCACUGUUUCCUUUUUGGGGGGUGGGGUGUCAUUGAGGCCUAAAAUAGGGAGGAAGAAAUUUGGGCAGGGCUCCUCCCAUGGGCUUAGAUGUUAUCUUCUUUGGAAUAUGUCUUCCAGGGUCCUGUAUGGUUACAGAGAAAAUCCAUCUCCAUCUCUUUGACCCAGGGGAUUCUCUACUCCUCCAGUUGGAGAAAAAUUGCUCCUCAUUACUACAAGUGUCCCAAUACCCUGGAUUCAGUACCCAUUCCCAGUUCUCCAUCCCUGGGGAAAAUCUACUUCUGACCACACGUCCACAUUCCCAGACGUUUCGGCAAGCCACGAUGAUUCUUAACACAGAGAAACCCUUUGUGACUCUACUUCCCAGGCUAGCCCCAGCCACCCGUGGGCUGUCUACUCUGGAUAGCUUCAGCUGUCAGCUAAAAGGCAAGAGUUGUGGAAUUGGACAUUUAAACACUUUUGAGCAAAAGCACAUUGUAGGACGCACCGUGAGGACUUCCAAGAUGAGCAUGUACUCAUGCAACGCCAUCAACGUGACUAGAGAGACUGAAGUAAAACAAGUGUAUAUAUGGACACUCUACAGCCAUGAUCUACCUAUGUGUGUGCUAUGAGUAGCUUCAAACUUUAUUUCAGCCCUGGUCAAUUUGAAAAAGUCAGAACAGAGUAAAAACAGCCUUUCUUCCAUUCAAAAGCAUUUUCUAAAGACCAUGAUGGCGUAGAAGCUCUGCUGUGUCUUGGUAACACAGAGAGGUUCGGCUUUAGCUUUGUCCUUGAACAUCACAGAGCAUGGUGUAAGAGAUGUCACAGAAUGAAGUUAGUGUGGAAUGGGAAAGGAAGAGGAGCAAAACCAUUUUUUUCUUCUAUACAAAAGGAGAGACAGUUGAUUGGCGCUCUGUGCAAUAGCAGUGAAUCUUCACGGUAUGGUCUCUGACACAUGGGACUAGGAGCAGCUUGCAUUUUUCUCUAGAGACCCCCCUUUUCAAUGUCUUUCCAUUGACCUCAGGACACCCAGUUGGUGAUAUUAUCUCUUCACUGUGGUUUAGUCCAAUGUGCUUGCCCAUUGGCUUCAUCUGGGGAGCCUCAGUGCAACUUCUUAAUGAUAAAGCCAAUCUGACCAAUGAUUCUGAGCCCCUGGGAACAGAUCAGCACCCUAGUUCUGACAACAAUGUCCUCCAAUUGUUUUUGGUGAGAGUGUGCAUUGACCUGAAUUGUUUACAGGAAGCAGGAUAGAAGGGAUAAUGGAUGAGACCAGUGAGCUAUAGUGUAUCACUACAGGGUACUGAGCAUACUGUAUACAAUGGAAGCACUGUCUUCUGAGGUGAAACCAGGUGGGCCUGGGUCUCAGGUGACAGUGAGGGUAGUACUUGCAAGUCCCUGGAAUCGGGUCAUCAAUGCUACAUGGAGAUCCUGAAAAGAUACAGGGUGGGCAUGACUCUACCACAGAGAGGCUGGAGCACCUCCUAAAGUCAGGAUUUACAAAGCUCCAGGGUUCUCUUGACAGCAGCCAGGCUAUUGGACAAAUGCACCCCACCUCCUAGAAGCUCUGAGUCCUGGCAGGCCGAGUGUGCAGACCCGUCAGCAUUUCUUGUCCACUGCACAGCUGAAGAGUGAGGAUGAAUAUUCAUCCCCUGGCUGUUCCAGAGUCACUUGACUCUCUGCAUAUGCAAAAUCAGGAGUUGCUCGGGCUGUCAGGGAGGGGAGAGGGGCCAAGGAAACAUUUGAUGUGGUGGGUUGAACUAGUGGGGAAAUAGAUCUGGCGAUAGAAAGGGGAGGAACAUUACAGAAGUGAAUUCCAUUUCUGCACCGGCUUGCAAGAUGUCAUCCUGAGAGGAGGGAUGCUUAGGCUCAGAAGACAACGCACAGCCUUGGCCUGAAGACAGGCUAAGGAGACCUCCUGCUCACUCAGCCAUUCUCCCUCUAUCAGGCUAGAAGGCAGUCUGAGGAGGAAUACAAGAAAGCUGCAUCUUUACCCUGGAGGCAAUUAAAGACUGCCUGAAACAAUACAGAACAACAAUUCAUAUUUGACAAGUGGCCCUUAUUAUGCACCUACUCUAUGCUAAGUGCUUGCUUGGUUCUUGCUGUUGUUUAUCCAGUUUAAUCCCUGUAAUCACCCUGCCAGGAAGCUUCUACUGUCCCCAUUUUUAGACGAGGCUUCGAAGUGACUUGGGGAAGUGGAGUGUCUCACUUUGUAAGAGCUGGACUCAGUGUCGUUUUACGGAGUCUAUAAUUGUUUUGGCUCUGGGGUUGAUUGAAAGAGACUCUUGAAGGGUGGGAAGAUGGCUCAGCAGUUAAGAGCACUUGCUACUCUUACACAGAAUCGAAGUUCAAUUCCCAGCACCCAGGUCAGGUGGCACACAAUCACUCCAGUUCCAUGGGAUAUGAUAUCUUCCUUCUUCUGGCCUGUGUAGGAGCUACAGUUAUGUUCAUGUACCCACAUGCAGAUAGACACACAAUCGAAAGGAAAAACAAAGUCUUUUUUUCCUCCAUCUUUAUUAACUUGGGUAUUUCUUAUUUACAUUACAAUUGUUAUUCCCUUUCCCGGUUUCCAGGCCAACAUCCCCCUAAUCCCUCUGCCUCCCCUUCUAUAUGGGGUUCCCCUCCCCAUCCUCCCCCAUUACUGCCCUCCCCCCAACAAUCACAUUCACUGGGGGUUCAGCCUUGGCAGGACCAAGGGCUUCCCCUUCUACUGGUGCUCUUACUAGACUGUUCAUUGCUACCUAUGAAGUUGGAGCCCAGGGUCAGUCCAUGUAUAGUCUUUAGGUAGUGGCUUAGUCCCUGGAAGCUCUGGUUGCUUGGCAUUGUUGUUCAUAUGGGGUCUCAAGCCCCUUCAGCUCUUUCAGUCCUUUCUCUGAUUCCUUCAACGGGGUCCUAUUCUCAGUUCAGUGGUUUGCUGCUGGCUUUCACCUAUGUAUUUGCCAUACUCUGGCUGUGUCUCUCAGGAGAGAUCUACAUCCGGUUCCUGUGAGCCUGCACUUCUUUGCUUCAUCCAUCUUAUCUAGUUUGGUGGCUGUAUAUGUAUGGGCCACAUGUGGGGCAGGCUCUGAAUGGGUGUUCCUUCAGCCUCUGUUUUAAUCUUUGCCUCCUUAUUCCCUGCCAAGGGUAUUCUUGUUCCCCUUUUAAAGAAGGAGUGAACCAUUCGCAAAAACUAAAGUAUUUAAAGAGAAACUUGGUCUUUCAGGACUUGUGUGAUAGUCAUGGAUUCAUAACACAGUGGGGAGGAAUCUCACCACGCCAACCAUGAGACAAGUGUUGCUCUAUCCAUCAUUAAAAUAAGUACAAUCUGGUAUGAUGGGGUGGAGUAUCACUAUCCUGAGCUACCCCGAAUGGCAGGUUACAGUGCCUCACUCCUCACUGCAGCCAGGCAAGGUGUAAAAACACAGGGCACAGAAUAAGAGUCAGUCAGUGCUGGCUGCCAAGUGCCAUUCGCUCAGAUGUGGAAACAGGAGAGAAGAGCUCAGCAGAUGUGCUCCCAGCCACUCGCUUAAGAAAUGUAAAGUUUGGGGGCUCGGGAUUUAGCUCAGUGGUAGAGCGCUUACCUAGGAAGCGCAAGGCCCUGGGUUCGGUCCCCAGCUCCGAAAAAAAGAACCAAAAAAAAAAAAAAAAAAAGCAAAACAAAAACAAAACAAAAAAAAAAAAAAAGAAAUGUAAAGUUUGGAUGCUCAGCACUGCAGCCCAGCACGAAAGCAUGAGUUGUCCUGGAGGAGAUCAGGAAGGAGUGCAAAGAGGGCAUUCAUAAUCACUUAUCCAAACCCUAAUCUCCCUGCAUUCUGCAUGCCAGGCACACUUAGGUUUGCCACAGGGCCUUCAGCAGUGGUUAUCAUUUACAUUAGCUAUCAAAGCCAAGAGGCUCUGGGAGAUCCAUUACCUCCCCCUGGGGACUUCUGGAGAGACCAAGGCCAAGCAAGGGUCAGUGUUGUUCUUUGUCACAGAAUGACUUAUGAUUACAAUGAAAGCAAGUCGUUUCCUAGAGCUCUUAUGUGCUGCAUUCACCUGCAGUGAAUGCCCUGUUGGUCACUGUCCAUCUCCAGGAAUCACUUCCUGUGCUAUGCUGCUGGGAAAGUGAAGGACCAGCAGAGUGAAGGACUUGCUCAGGGUCAGGAAGCUAUUGAGUACUGAAGCCAGAGUCAAAGACAGACUUGUGUAAAUGUAAACUAUGGGCACUUAGCCACUCCAUGACUUGGAUGUGAUGCUCAUCUCGGUGGCAACAGCCUCCCCACCCUGACCCCAACAAACGCACACCAAGGUGAGAGCAGUCCAGGAAUGCUCACUGUAUGGGGUAGGGGCCCACAUCAUGGGGCCCAAUGUACAUGCAUGCAUGUGUGCCCAUGCGUGCGUGUGUGCUUGGACUACAAACAACCCAUGCAGACCUUACUUCUUCCCUUCCCUUAUUCCUCUUCCUAAGUCCUAGUAGGCUUCCCCCAUCUGCCCAAGUGUGCUCUGGGUCUAUUCCCAGAAGUUAGUUCACAUCUGGCAAGAAGUAAUUGGGCAGAGUUGCUGAGUCCUUCUCUCUACACCUUAGGGGGUUCAUCACAGAAAUGUCAAAAUAUUUUCCAUUCUCCAGCAAGAAUAAAACUGACACAUAGUUUGAAAAUCAUCAACAAUAAAACCUUCACCCAAUCAGCUUUAAUCACAAAUCUGCCUUUGGGAAUCCACAGAGUGCAAGGGACAGCAGAUGGGAAACCCCAUGUACCUGACGUCAGCCAACAUGUGAUUUAGAAAGAAAAAUCCUCAACAUUCACCCUAUGGGCGAGCCACACUCAAUGUGAGCUGACCAGGGCUAGACAGAAACACAGGAGUAAUAGCUGUAGAUUGUUACACUAUGUAUGCUGUAUCACAUGGCGUUUCUUAAAUAUAAGUAUCCUAGAAUCUGAAUCCAGGAUCCUGUGGUUUAGUUUUGGGCCUCCUACUAACUGGAAGAGCCACAUUAGUACAUAGAAAUCCAGAGAGCACCUCAGGAUCACACAGAGUAGGGAAUAACCAGCCUUUGUCUACUCGCUUCCUGACUGGUACCCUCGGUGAUUCUCAUGACUGAUCACACAUGCUUCUUGCAAAUUAAGGUGGGUUGGGCAUGUGUACAUGUUUACAAGCCAGUGCCUUCCUCAGUCACUCUCUGUCUUAAUUUGGGUAAGAGAUAAAGGGUCUCUCACUGAACCUGGAAUUAACAGAUUUGAGUAGAUUGGACAACCAGUAAAUUUCAGAGAUCUUCCUGUUUCCAUUUUUUUCUGUGCCAAGAUUCCAUAUGAAGGCCCUGUUGCCUAUUUGUUGUUGAUGAUGAUGACAGUUUUGGGGUAGUUUGGGGGUCUGUCUUUUUUUUUUUUUUUGGUUUUGUGUGAAUGUGGGAGAUCAAACUCAGGUCCUUAUAUUUGCAUAGCAAACAGUUAACUUACUCUCUUCAGUUUUAAAAUAGGGGGAUAAAAGGUUCCAGAGAGCCAUGGACUAACUGACAUAGAGUAACUUCCUUGUAAAGGAAGCACUCUGCAAGCCUCAAGCCCCUAUAGAAAUACAACCCUUUGCAAUCCCUUUCACACAAAUGGAUUUAAAUGCUGGAAACAGUUCCCCCAGCUCUUUCCCCCAAAUUACUCUUUCUCUGCACCAGCCAAGCACCAACAUGCAGGAAGCCUCCUUGGUGCCCAGCCAGCUAAUGUGUGCCUGGCAUUAGCACUAAACUAACAUUUUAUUUCCCUACCAUAGUAUGUAAUUUCUUUGGAAGUUGAAGUAUAAUGAAAUUGGUGUUUAUUAUAAUUAAUAAAAGCCCCAUAACUUUAAAUUGGGUCAUAAAUCUUGCAGGGAAAUCCAAUACUGCUAUAAGAGUCAUUCCUUUCCCAGAAGGAGCCUCUUCAGGGGAAGGCAGUGGUGGCUCCCUCCUCCUCCCCACAGAGGUGCCCAUGCUUUCUGGCUGCUCAUUCUCUACUGCUAAUCUAUUCAGGUCACAUGCAGAGCACAGACAGCUUGGGCUCUGCAAAUGGAAAAUGUGUCCCUGAGCCUCACACCUGUACAUGUUGUUCCAGUGAGCUUGGCUUGCAUGGUCAGCUGAGAAAAAGCUUCUCUGGGGAGAGAAAUCUAUGUACUUGCUUUCUGCAACUGCACGACAGAGAAGGAAAGUGUGAGCUCUCAUGACCCCAAGCCCACAAGCAUCCACAGUCUGGUGAGAGAGCCCGUGUUUCUUACCUUUCUUGUCUCCAAGAAAAACUUGUCUACUAAAGCAAUAUAAGGAAAUGGGGAUUUGUUUUGGCCCAAGGUUGAUAAGGGUGCAGUCCAUCCAGAUGCUAAAGUGUGGCAUCGAGAAGGUAGAGUGAUCAGUCACAUUGUGACCAUGGGCAGGAAGCAGAGAGCCAGAGAUGAUGGAUGGCGCUCACCUCACAUGCUCUUUCUCUUUGAGUGAGUUUAGGGUUCUGUCCAGUAGACUAGAACCACAUGUGUUCAGGGUGAGUUCUCUCCUCAGCUAUAUCUUUAUGGAAAUGCCCUUGUGAACAUUCUCAGAGAUAUGUGUCUUGGGUGAUCCUAAAUCCAGUCAUGUUGAUGAGGAAGAUUAGACAUCGCAGGGGUCAGCUCCCAAGCUGCCUCAUGCAACUGAGCAGGAAUUAUACAGGUGCAGGAGUAUGGAUAUGAAAUGCCUGACCUUUACUGGACACAGUGACAGGAUCUGCAAGGAGAAGAGUAGAUAAGGGGGAAACACCUUGAGGUUUCCAGGGGAGCAUAAAUGCAUGUUCAGUGCAGCAUUCUGACACUGCUCAGGGUCUCACACUUGCUCUUUCUCUGGCUGGGAUACCCAUCCCCAAAUUUCCUUCUCUUCCUCAGUCAGACCUCUAUUCACACAUCAUCUCUCAGAGAGCCUUGAUCCUUUCUUAUGAAGCUGCUAUUCCCAUCUCCUUUACAUCUCUCCAUUCUGAAAUGACAUUUUCUAAAAAGUGUAUUUGUAUCCUUAUUCCCCAUCUUUUCCCCAAAUGCCUUGUACAAACAAAGUUUGUUGCAACAAGAGGCUUGCCUGUUUUAUUUACAGUUGGGGUCCUACCACCCUGAACAAUUCCAGGCAGCCAGUGGACAAUUAAUAACCAGUGGAGAAACAGAAACAUGAAGUUGUGUGGCUCUUUGAAAGAAACUUGUUUCAAAGUGGAUCACAAACUCAUGUGCAGUGUCAGGUGGGAAAACAGUUGAUGGAGAUGGUCAAGCAAUAGAGAAAUAUGGCCAGAGAAAUAAACCAGGACAUGUGACACCCCGGGGAGGGUUGUGAGUAAAGACAAAUGUCCAAGAAAGGACUUGUCAAUGUGUUGGCUGUGGGAUGUGGACUGGAAGCCCCCUUUUCUGUCCUCUUCCUUGAAAUUAUUCAUCACACUUUCAAUGUAAAAUGAAAACAAACAAAUAAAAUUAAAGUUAAACACCAAUCCAGCAGUGGCAUCAGCAUAUACAGCUCACAUGAUUUCCUGAGUAUCUUGCUGGGGGUUGAUUGCAGAGCUGGCUCUGAGCACCCCAACAGCCAAAACAAAUGCCUGCGAACACAGCAACCCAAGGCUGUUUAUUCAAGAGAAGCUUGGCUUUUCCUGGAUCUGGGACCCAAGGCACUGGUGUUAUGAUGGAGUAUCUACAACAGCAUUCCUUAGUCCAUCCAUUAUAGCAUCUUUCCCUGUGGCAGGCUGAUGUACCAGUGCAGAAGUAUAAUUUAGCAUAAGCCUUCCUAUAAAGCUGCCAGAUUCAUGCAAUGGAAGAGUACCUCACCUCUACUCAUAAGAUCAAUCAAGGUGUGUGUGUGUGUGUGUGUGUGUGUGUGUGUGUGUGUGUGUGUGUGUGUGGUGGGGGUGCUCAACAAAGUGACUUGUUUUUCCCAGUGAGCUCGCAGUCAGACCUAAAUGGUAAGGCAAGCAAGCUGUCUUUUCUACCCAUAGGCUAGUCAAAGAAUUCCCCUCACUGGACCCUGAGGGGAAAUCCCUUGACUGGGCUGUGCAAGUCAUGGGAGGAGUAUCUACUUUUGAAAAUAACAGACUGGAAAAACUUACAAAGAAUGCCAGGUGAUUUCCCCUCUGCCAGGAGGGUCAGAGGUCCUCCUCAGUAAUACGUUUCCAUUUGGUCCAGCCCUCCUACAUGUGACAACCAACCAGCCUCAGAGCUGGGCACUACGCAUGCCUUUAUCAGACCAUGGCACUUGCUGUACAUAGGAUUCCUUUCUAGGGACUUAGUCUGAACUAUAGGUGACCCACUAGUCAGAAGACCUUAGCACUAGACAAACUCCAUGUGCUUCUGCAGCCAGCUUCACCUGGCGCCAAUCUGAAGACCAGCAUUAGAGUGUCUGUGUUUUCAUUAAGGUCCCUGACAUUGGGGUGGGGCUUUAAUGCUGGCAAAGCACUUUACCCUAUCACACAUCCUUCAUCGCAUCCUCAUUUAGAAAGCGAAGUGGGUUCUUCCACUGGAGGGCAAGGCUACGAAUUGAAACACUGAGAUAAGUUGAAUCCUACAUCCUGCAAGACACAUUCAGCAGCAUGGCUGAAUAUCUGGGUCUGGAGCAGCUUGGUGGGUUCAAUUCUUGGCAUCCCACUCAUUGGUGGUGGGGGGAAUAGGUGUGUUUUUGACGGUUUUCUUUAUAUAUCGAUACUCUGCAAACUGGAGUGUAUGUGUGUGGGGAUAUGAUGCAUAGCAUAAGCUUUGGAUCAAUGUUGGUUGUCACUCUUAUGGUCUUCUGAGGACAUGGAGAUGACCUAUACAGGGUGCUUAUUCCGACCUCCAUUGGAAGAAAGUUGGAACAGGAGUUAGUAGAAGCAUGAUAUAUGACAGAAACUGGGGGCAGCCUACAGAGAAUUGCCUCUUCCUAACUCUUUCCGAGCAGAUGACCCCCAGAUAUCCAGAGCUUGUGAUCACUUGAUUACUUCCUCACAGCUCCUUGGAAAGGAUGAGUGUUCGUGGGAGAGGGGAAACACUCUCAAGAAAAGAUAGCACAUCCUAUACUUUUCUACAAAGAUGGAAAUGACUCAAAUCUUGGCCGGUUCAUCUCGUGGCUAACAGCAACAAGUAGAUGGCUAUUGCUCAUGGGAAAUUAGCUAGCGUGAACCUCAUUAAUUCAACUUAUUCAAAUUACAAUAGCCACAUGUACUGGCUACUGAAUGGCAUGUCCUUAGAGGGAGAGAUAGGACUUCAUAAUGGAAUCACAGGACAAGGUCUCAGUCUAGGCUGAGUCCAGGCUUGUACAAACACUGGAAGGGUGCCAUGUUCAUUGAAAGAUGUUUCACUUUCCCAUUUGAAUUUUCUAGUUCUUACUCAAUCAACAAGUUCUGGUGAAGCCUGAGCUCCAGAAGAGCUAAGCUAACCCCAACACUCUGACCUUGGCAUUCAAUGGGCCCCACUCAGUGCCCAGAGAUUGGUGUUCAGUAACUCAGGCUCAAUGUAGCUGCUAUUUCUCAGAUACUCACUUCUUCCUGUGUCAGUCUUGUCUCUUCUCUGCUGCACUGAGGACUAAUAAUGUGUCCCGAGGUGCCCAGACUAACAAUGGGCACUAAUGAAGAUCCUAAAGACAGGUGUGGACGUCUGAUUGAAAAGGCAGACUUAGACAAGGAGUACUCACUUUCAUUAGCUUUAUCUCCACGAGAAGAGGAACUGCCUGCUCAUUAUGGAAAGGAGAAGAUUCUUAUUAUAUUUUUUUCUAAUGGAGAGACUUGUUUGCCGUGGGUUAAAUUAAACCCAUGUUCUGAUAUAAAAUGCAACAUCAUUCAAGUCAAUAUUAAUAAUGAUGGGAAAGCCUUAAGAAUUAUCUUUCACAGUAAAUUACCUCUGAGAUUGCAAGUAGACCUUAUCAAAUGUAAAUCCAAUAUAAAGAACACUGGAUAUACAGGAGUGAUAAAUUACAGGGGAGAAUUCACCCUCCGUCAUGUGCUGUGUUAGUUUAGAGCUUCAAGUACCAGCUGUGACAUUAGGGAAGUCAUCUCCUAUCUUUAGGCUACAAGUUCUUCAUCUGAAAAAUCAAGGGGACUGAACCAGAUGAUCUCCAAGGAGACUCCCUGCUCUGAAAAUUUAUCAAUCUCAAAUUCCAUGAAUCUGAUCCAUUUGGCAUUUCCUUCUCCUGUGUUCCUACCACAAGUGAGAAGCAUGCUAAUUUAAUAAACCGAGUGGGUUAUGAAGAGGGACUAUCCCCUUUCUUAUGGCCCCUUCUUGUCCCUUUCCUUCUUGCCCCCUCUUUUCCUGUCCCCUCCAUCUCAGGAAGUAUUCAUAUGGACAACAUGAUUGAAGUUACAACAUCUAUACUGUAAGGCUAGGCCUGGAGGGGGGCUCAGGGGUGGGAGCAUCUCUCAGCUUCCCAGAUGCAGAGAGCUCCUGAAAGGUAGCUAUGGGUUUCUGAAACAAAGUUCAUCUACUGCUGUCCUUGCCCCAAAGUCCCUUCUACUCAUCAAUCCUAUAUUUAACGGUCUCUCUCUCUCUCUCUCUCUCUCUCUCUCUCUCUCUCUCUCUCUCUCUCUCUCUCUCUCUCAUGUGCACUCAGAGCUGCAGGUCACAGAAGUUAAUUGUCCUUUAAUUGCCUUCUCAUCCAGGGAUGCUUGCAUUAUGGCUGAUGAAAAGAGACUCCAGGAUACAUUACCAGUGCCUCUGCCUCUUAGAUGCUGCUGUCCUCCUUGGAACCCAUUUUAUAGCUCUCUCCCUUCCUGACUUUCUGGUCAACACCUUUAUGGAGCCUUCUGUGGCCUGGAGACUCUCUUUUUCCUUGCUGUUCAUGUGCUCUGAGCCCACACUAUAAGACUUGGGUGGGGAAAGGAACAAUGUCACUGUGCAAUCCUGUAAUCUUGGAUCAUCAAGAAUCCUCUUUAGCCUCUGACUUGUUGGCCACAUAAGCUUGCCACCCUUCGAUUCCCACCCCCCCACACCUUAUAUAGGCACGCGUGCACACACACACACACACACACACACACACACACACACACACACACACCAAUCUUCCCUGAGUUCUCAGUGGCUGGGUGGUUAGUGAUCUUUCUCUGCUCCCACACUACCUUAACUUCUUAUGUGCAUGUGCAUGUGUGCAUGUGUGUGUUCAUAUGUAUGUGUGUUUAUGUGUAUGUGUGCCAAGAUUACAAUAAUCAACUUGUCACCUUAAAAGUCUUCAAGUGCCAUUUACCCUGUCCUAGAUCAGCUCAUUGUACUUUACCUGUCCCAUCUUUAGCUUUGCCCUUGUUCUACAGUGUGUGAAAGCCAAGGGACCAGAAUGGGCUGACUUAAUUUUUUCUUCUGACUAGUCACUCUUCCCCUUCAUCCUUCUAUCUCAAGUCCCAUCAGGCUCUGGCAUGUCUAGAUUUGAUCUCUGAGUACAGCUAGAGAUCUUGUAGAGAUCCCUCCAGCCCUACCUCUCAGACUAUCAUGCGUUAGUGUCCUCCUACUUGCUAGGCAGUGCUGCAAAACUUUAGCCCUUCCUGGCUGUUUACAGUGAGCAUUUUUCAAACAGGAAAGUUCCCUCCUCCGUGGGAGUCCCCGAUGAAGCCUCCUUUGUCACUUUGAGACAGCCAGUAAUGUCCUCUUCUAGGACUCCAAAGCACAUGAUUUGCUCUUUUAUGACCCCAGUUAUAUUUCAGCUAGUAAUUUUGGGUUUCCUUUGACUAAACUGUAAGCCUCCCAGGGGUAAGACCCCUUCUUGUAUUCUAAAGGGACCUGGUUCCUGGCACCAACUAUCAUGUUUUCUCCAUUCAUUGCAUAGCAGAUGGUGAGAGCUAGAAACAGUCGUGCUUGUAGAAAAGGUCACUAGAGCCAGGGCUGUACUGACAUGCAAGUAAAGGAGCAUGGUCCUUGUCGUUUUCUCUUGUUUCAACAAAAUUAGCUUGAUGAGGAUUUUAGGCAGUGGGGAGCCCACAGUGAGCUCACCUCUGCAUCUCUAGAUUAGCACAGAAGGAAAGUGUGUUUCCUGUUCCUUUGGUGAUGCUCAAACUUGCGUUUUUCAGAUAACUUGGGGAUCUAAACAGCACUUGGAUCCCUAACCCAUCAGGUUUGGGACUGAGCCUGGAAGCAUGCUACUUAUAGAGGACACUUUUAGCAAUAAGAGUGUAUCCCAUUUCUUCUAAGAGGGUGAUGUGUUUUAAUUAGAAGUCUCAAGCUUCAAAAAUGACAUGAUUAUUAGAGGAUUGUGGAGCAACUUAAGACUCGAGGCAGAUGUUGGGUCUGACUACUUAGUGGUCUGUGUGAGCUUCCAGUUUAGCCACUGGCUUCUCAAAGCCUUUCUAUCUUGUAAAACUGAGACAGUAGCCUUUGUCUCGUGUGUGUGUGUGUGUGUGUGUGUGUGUGUGUGUGUGUAUGUGUCUCUGUGUGUGUGUCUGUGUACACAUGUUUAGUAUGUUUAUAUAUUUGAUUUAUGUGUACACCUGAGGAUUGCAUGGAAGAUAUUUCAUGACUUAUAUGAGACUUUGUGUAACUAGCUGUUGGAUCUCUUGUAAAUGGAGCCAAACUAGACCAACUACUUGUUUGCUCUUUGAUAAACCACAGUUCAUUUCUAAUUCCCUCAAGAGUGCCUCUCAUUCCUGCCCCUUAACAUCAUAAUGUAAGCGUGUCCCCUUGGCCAAAGAGAUACAGAUAGAAGCAUGUGCAUUACUUCCAAAUAGCAUAUGCCAUCUUCCCUUUGUCCUUCAGCAAGGAGAUGAUAAUGGAUAUAUUGGGGUUGCCCUUCCAGCCAAGCUCCUUAGGGUGAAGGAGAACUCCAGUGAAUUUGCAUGAGGACUAGAGAAUGGGUGAGGAUUCAACCUAUUUUGAAAGACAUUGAGAAAUUCUGGGAUAGUUUGUCACUGCUGAUCAACCUGUUGCCCCUGACUGGCAAUCCUUGCCCUUUAUUGACUUACUGUCUACUUAGGAUUAAGUCCUAAGAUGGUCGCCAAGACUGCACAUAUAAGCAUGACGACAAUUAUGUCCCUGAAGCAGUCUACUUGAGUGAAGGUGGUGGGAACAUAAAUUCCCAGGGAUAAUACACUGCUCAGUUCAGUUUGUCUAAAUAUGUCUAUAAUUGGGAGGCUUCCAGAAUGUAGAAGACACACUGAUAAAUCCUUCUCAAGGAAUUAGGGAAGAUGUCAUGGAGGGAGAGUGUUUGAACAAGGCCUUGAAAAGGGAAUUGACUUUUAAUUGGACACGAUAGCACAGGGAAUGGGGAGCAUGGAUUUUGAGUUAAACCCCUUCAUUCCAGUCUUGCCUCUGGCAUUUUUGAAAGAGUGACCUCAAACCAGAAAAUGUCUGUCUGUUUGUCAUAUUUUUCUUCUACAAGGAGAGCUAAAAGCACAUCUGUGUAUUGGGAAGGUCUAAGGAAAUCUGUGUACAAGCACUGGUGAAUAUGUGUGGCUUCUAUGGUAAAUGGACGAACACAUAACCUGAGAUAAGACUCUUCCACUAUGGGGCAGCUCACAAGUCCUGACCAUGUGUUUGAGGGAUGAUUUUGUUCUUGGUAGCAUUGUGCUUAGUAUGUUAUGAGUUAAUGCAUAAUUGUAAAUUCAGCUCCUUAAAACACCUCCAUAAUAGAAGCUAUUGAUACUCUGUUUUUUUUUUCUUCAGAAAAGAAAACAGGAUUUUGAGUAGUCUAGAAACUUACCCAAGAACACCGGGAAAACAAGGACCAGACCUAGGCAUUCUGACUACAAACCAGCCUUACUUGAAGCACAAGGCCAGCAUCCUUCCAAAUGAACAGCACAUACUGCAAAGGAUUCUGGGUCCAGAGCAGCACAGACAGGCUCAAGCAGAGGCAGCAGCCUACCACGAUCAUGUUCUCAGACUCCCUUUUAAACAGGCUGGUGAACGACUGGAGUUCAAUCCCCAAACGUCACUUUAGUAAGUCAUAUAUGGCGACACACAUUUAUAAUUCCAGUGCUAGGGAGAGAGACCUGAGCAAAUCACUGGGCCUCACUGACCAGCCAACCUAGCCUGGUAGAUAAGUUCCAGUGGGGAGAAGAUCCCAUCUUCAGGAAAGAAAAGGUGGUAGAGUAAAUCGUGUCUGAGGAACAACGCCUGAAAAAAGAUAUACUUAAGGUCGUACUCUGAUCUCCACAUACUUCCACUUGCAUACAUGCAUGCAAUGUGCUUUCACAUACACACAUGUACGUGUGCACACAAACACACACACACAUACACACAGAGAGACCUCCCUUUUGCAAAGAUGGAGUGGAAGUCAUGUGCCUCCAGGAACUGCAAUGAUUACACAUUGCACACUACAAAUAUAGUAUGAAGACAGACCUCUACAGUCUUGAACCCUGGGUCUAUCCGAGCCAUUGAAACAUUAUAAGGAAUGGGUCAUUACUUAGUAUCACCACUAUAAAAUUUUUCAACAGUGAUUUAUAAAUCGAAAUCAGUGGGUAUACCUUCUUUGAUAAGAGUCUUGAGUCCAAAAAAACCCCCAAACAAACAAACAAACAAACAAAACCAAACCAGAAUCUAAGGUUACCCACUAUUAAUAAGUAAUUAAAUCAGGAAUGUUUCCCCAUUCUUCUGAGCUUUUCACCACACCACACUACUCACACGGAAGACAUUUACAGCUUGAGCCAGAGUUCCUUCCUGCCUCCUUCAUUCAUGGCUCUGGGACAAAGCCAUGGGACCAAAACCCUAACCCAGAGUACAUUGCACUCCAAGCAGAGCUGGGCAUGCGCUUCGGUUUUCUGGAUCCAGAAACCUGCUAACCAGCCAUAUUAGCCCAACUGAACCUCUCCAUCUGCCACAUCCCCAUACACCAGGUGCAGAAAUUGAAUCUCAAGAUGUUAAGAUUGCUCUCUGGUUUUCCUAUGUGAACACAGUGGCUAACGUCACAGGCUCAGGGUCAGACAUUCGGUCCCACUGUUUCUGGGUAGGAAUUGCUUAACUCUGAAUCGUUGUUUUCAUCUGUGCUGAGAAUUAUGGUCAAGAAUAAGAGAUACAAUAUAGAUGAAUACCCAAUCUGCAUCCAUGCUUCUCAAGCAUUUCUUCUAUCCUUGGCCAUCCAAUGCUGGACUAUUCCUCAUACCCACACCAGAGCCUGCUGGCUCUCCAGCUCCUUUCCUACUUUCUCUGUCUUCUCUCCAGCCCCACUCUCAGAAUCUAUGCCUAAAUCUUCUUGCCUGAGGCCCUUGGACUAUGUCCCCUUUCUAUUUCAUUUACUUUGAAAACUGUCCCAUCCAGUGUGUGCUUUCACACCGCUAUGACUUAAGUAGACAGUCCCCCACCUGUAACACCACUGCUAUAUGGCUCCUUUGAAGCAUGUAAUUACUGUCUGAGAUCAAUGUGUGUAUUAAAUUGCAUGCUCAGAUUUAACCUGUCUCUGAUCACACAGCUUUAUGAGAGCAUGAAUUACAUUGUAUUGAUCUCUCCAGGGCUGGCAUCUUCUGAAGUACCUGGCAGGUAAGAGUCUAGGAGUUGGGUCCCUCACCUUGUAUCAGUUGAAUGAAUGAAUGAAUGAAUGAAUGAAUGAGGGAAGAAGGGAAGGAGGGAGGGAGGAUGGGUGGAUAGGUGGGUAGAUGGAGGGAGGGAGGGAGAGAUGGAGAGAAUCAAGCUCUUCAACUCCACGUCUCAGUUGUGUGUUGGAACUGUGCAUCUCUCUGCCUUGUUCUUUGCACUGACCCUUGGUUACGGUUGUCAUAUCUUAGCUUCAUCUUCGGUCUCCAUGACUCUGAAUGCAGGUCCAUCACUUAGCUCAGCUCUAAGUGUCCCAGGCUAAAUAAAGGUGAUAGGUAAGGUGAGUUUAGACACAGGAGUUAGCUGAAGACUGUUACUUUCUCAUAGGUAUUACUACGGGAGAAUGGUGAAGACAUUCUCCAUCUGAGGUCUGUCAGGCUGGGGAGAAUCACCCACCUUCAGGAAUGGGUGUGCUAAGAGGAGGAGGGCUGACCAGGUUAUGGGGGAGGUAGAAUAGGGAGUGUGGCUCAGAGUUCCUUCAUCCUUCCUCCUUCUAGUAGGAGCAUGACUCAGCUCCAGGCCUCACCCCACCCAGAGGUGCUGGAAGCUGACAGACAAAUCAUCCUCUUCCUGGUGACUCAGUGCUUGGUUCCUCAUUGCCACCAGUCAGCCUGCAGCUCCACAGAGCCAUCCAGGGAUUGUUCGCUAGCCCCUCCAGCCAUGCAUAUUCAUCAGCCUCCUUGUUCCUGCAGCCAGCAUCCUCCACAUCCUCCCAUAAUUCUAUCUGAUAGCACAUCCUCCCAGGACUGUGGGACAGGAAUUGCACUCUGAGAAGGCUGCUUCAGACGAGGAUAGAGAAGCAUGAGACAGGUGGGAAAAUGGGAGAAAAGCAUUGCACAUGCCCUGUCCUUCUGCUGAUUCUGGUCCUUUGGGGUCCCAUCUCCCACUAUGAGUACUGGGGGAAAAUGGCCAUCAAGAUGAUCCUGAGCAAGAAAGAGGGUGGAGGUGACACCUGGGAGAAGCUAGAAGUGGGGUGAUAAACCCCCUUCAUCCAUGCUAGAGUCAAUUAGCUUUGAUAAGCAAUGAUGGUUGUUUUCUUCAAGUGCAUCCCAAAAUAGUUUCCAUUUGCAGAGUGCUUUUAAUUAACCAAGGGUGUUGACUUGCUGCAGCCUGACCCCUCUGUUGAUCCAGUGGAGACAUUUGCCUUUUAGGAAGUGCUCCAGCUCAGCCAGAAGAGACUGUCAGCCUCACCCUAGUAUUUUGUGUCUCCCAAGAGAAGAGAGCCUGCUUCAGCAGGCCAAGUUCCUGUCCCUAAUAAAGCUUGAUGUCUCCUGCCUUUCAUUGCAGACACUUCCUCAGCAAUCUUGUAUCUAAGGGCAACCUUGUAUAUAAAAACACUGACAAAACAACUCAGCAAAUCCUCCUACAAUGGCUCUUUUAUGAACGCAGGAUUCCUCAUAACAUAGGGGAGGAAAGAAGCAGGAAGUCACUGAUUCAAAACCACAUAGGUGGUGAAAAACAGGAGUGACCUCAUGUUAAUAAGUCCACAUUCAGGGCUUCAACCAUAGCCAUUGCACCCCACCAUUCACAGACCAAGAUGCUCUAUACCCCAUGCCAGCAUCAUAUAGAGCAGGGAUGGCGUUGAACACCCAGCAUCCAGGCAAGUCUGCAAGGGGAGAGUCUCUUCUCCUAGUUCCCAUUCACACUCUGGCAGCCUCCACAUAGUCCCCAGCUUCAGGGGGUCUAUUUUACCAGCAGUCAUGUCAGGCAUUAUUCUAAAAGAUCUUACCCGUAUGGACUCAUUUACCCCUCAGGACACUGAGCAAAUAUUAUUACAACUGUAUAAAGAGGAAAACCAGUCCUUCAGUGGUACCCAUCCUCCACAUAUGUGUACAUAUAUGGCAUACAUGGAUCUGUCUUGUGAUACUUAACCUCCAGCAAAUUGGUUUAGGAAGAUACCUUUCCCUCCACUUAGUUCUUAGUUCUUCGUCUUAUUUUGCCCCUCCCCAGCCCCUCUAACUGUGUCUAUUCUUGUACCUAUUGCCCUUGACCAGUUUCUUCAAUAUCUCUUAGUCUGUCUUUCUUGCAGAUCUAUCUAGUUCUGCUCUCCUAAACCCAGCCUCCAAACAGCAGUCAGAGAAAGCCUUUGAUGAAGCACUUAAGAAAAAAAGUCAUACAGAGCACAUCACAAUCAACCAGGCUCUGUUUGAUCCUAUCCCUUCCUCUCUGGCAUGUUCCCUUUGAAGCAUCUAUUAUAGUCUCUAAUUGUUGGAUAAUGUUCUCUACCAUGGAUUGAGCUCCAACAGACCAGGGCGUACUUCAUGUUCUGUGGCUAGUACUGUAACUAGCGUCUUAUCAACUGUAGCCCUCUGGUCAAGGACAGUCUGUUCCCUGCUGAUCAGCUAUAAAGCUCACGUGACAUAGCCCCCCUGUAUCAAGUCUUUGCUGGGAGGUCCUCCUGUGCAGUCAAAGGGUUCUGUUGCUUUUGUCACAAUCAAUGGUAGGCAUUUUCAUACUUGCCCACACGCAUUAGCAGUCACACCCUGUCUCCCCCUAACCCUUCAUGCCCAGUAUCAGGCAAUCAUAUUAGUUUCCAUUCUGUUUCUAUAGACUUUCUAACCCUAAUUAUGUAAGUAUUAAUCUUAUUUUUAAUAUUUUAUAUACAAUGAUAUAUUUGUAUGUGUUAUUAUAUAUUCUAUAUUAUUAUGCCUAUAUCUAAUAAUCUAUAUAAUACUCAUUUAUAUUACAUAUAUUAUAUAAUUAUAAUAUAUUAUAUAGAAGCAUAUAAGAUAUAUAUAUUUGUUUUUGAAACAGGGUUUUUCUGUGUAUCCCUGGCUUUCCUAGAACUAGCUUUAUAGACCAGACUACCUCAAACUCAGAGUUCUGCCAACCUCUGCCUCCUGAGUGCUGGGAUUAAAGGUGUGCACCACCAUGCCCAGCAACAUCUUAUGUUUUGUGUGUACACAUAGAGUCAAAUACUAUGCAGUGGGGUGAGUUACAACUGGCUUUCCAGCUUUUCAGAAUGCUCUCACAAUGCAUCUGCAUGCUCCAGUAGCUCUGUACAUGCCUGCUUAUGGCUGAAUACUUCCCUGCUGUGUAGACAUUUCACAUUCUGUAUAUUUAUCUUCCAGUUGAAAUUCAUUGGGCUUUUCUAGUGGGACCAAGGAAUAGUUCUACUGUGAAUAUUCAUGGGCAAGUUUUAUGUAGAAAUAUGUUUGUUUCUGUCUCUCUUUUGCUCAUAUUUAGAUUUGGGAAUGCUGGGUCAUGUGUUAGCUGUGUGGUAGCCUUUGGAGGAAUUGCCAAAUUGCUUUCCUAAAUAGCCAUGCCAUUUUACAUCCUCAUCAAUAAUGCACAUGAGCUCCAUGUUCUCUGUAUCUUCACCAACACUUGCUAUUGGCUGGUGCUCUUAUAAUGUUGCUUGAGAAGCAUUUACUCAGAUCCUUUGUACCUUUUUAUGUUGUGUUACUAUUACUGAUUUGUUGCAUAUUCUUAGGAGUCUGGGGGUAGGGGACGCAUAUAUUUUAAUAAGUAUAAGAUCUACACUGUAGAAGUUUUAGUGUUGGUAAAGUCCAAUCUGUCUUGUUUUUCAUGUAUUUCUUCUACCCAUACCUGUGCAUCCACACAUGAAUAGUCAUUGACUAAACCAAACGUUUCAGAGACUUACCUUGUAUUUUCUUCUAAGACUCUCACAGUUUUUGUGUUUGUGUGUUUAGCUCUAUGGUCCACUUGAAUUCCUUUCCAUGUAAGGUAUGAAGUAUGGGUUCCACUUUAUCCUUUUGUCUGUGGUUCUCCAGAGUCUUAUUUUACCUGUUUCUGUGAAUAACAUUUAAUUAGAGCACAGAUGCAGCCAUUACCUGUGGUGGCUUUCACACUACAGUGAUAGGGUUGAGUGUGCACUCCAGAUAUCGUGUGACUCGCAAGCCUGAGUUGUUUGUUAUAUCUCAGAAGUUUGCUGGUUCACUAUAAAUAGCUGUCAAAUAAAUAAAUACAAUUUAAUUUUUAAUCAGCAGAUAAAUAUACGGCUAUCAACACUAUAGUAAUGUAUUCCUUACCAAAAUAAAGUUUUUAGAAUAUAUAUUUCUGGAUGAUUAUGUUAUUGUGUAAAUAUCAUAGAAUAUGCUUUUGUAAACCUAUAUGAUAUAGCCUGUUGUAUACUCAGGGUAUAUGAUCCAUACCAUUGUGUGUGUUCCAUGUCAUUAACCAAAAUAGCAUUCAAUACACAACUGUACUUGAAAUGUUCAGAGAACAAAACUGGAUGUGACUCUUGUUAAGAGCAAAUAGUUGUUUCAUUGGCUUACUGUAGAAAAACUUACCCACUGAAAACAUGGUCCUGAUGUGAGUUCAUGUAUCAGCUUUGCCUCUUCUAUAAGUCACCUUGAGAGUAGCCAUUAGCAGCAUGCCCUGCUUCCCCAUUCGGCUUUCAGUGGACUGAAGCAGGAUUGGACCUCUGCUGAGGCUGAGGCAUUCCAAUCUGUCUGUACUUUCAUCUCCUCUGACAGGGAGGAUACAGAGGUGAGCGCAGGAAUUAGUCACGGUGGGCUUUUCCCUGUGGCAGAGAAGCCUUUAGGAAGCUGUCAGAGCCAAGACAUCCCUAAGAGUCUCCAGAGAGAGAGCUCUCCAGGUUCCACUCUCCUGGUCCAUGUCCUGUAUCUGUUAUUCCCCAAAUACCCCCAAUCGGAAUAUUGCUCUGUUGUUCAUUAAAAUGUCUGAUGGGCAGCAAAAGAGCCUAGUCAAGGGAAAUAGAUGGAGACAGUUUGCAAGCUCACAUCUCCUUGACUUUAUCCUUUCUGAGAUUUAAGUUUGCCAUCUGAGAAAUGGAGAGAUUAGUGUAAGGUUGUUAAGGAAAUCAAAGGAGACAACCAAACUGCAGCAUCGAAAUGAAGGUCCCAGUGCAUUGUGGGGUGAGAAGAGAGGAAAGAACGACACUGACAGCAUACAUGCGUCACGUUAAAACUGGAUAAUAUUCAGCUAGCUGAUGCAGCUGGAUGAGAAGAUGGAUGGGAUUUUUUUCUUGAAAGCCUUUUCUGAUGCUUUUAAAGGUAUAAUCUUUCUACUUUUAGAAAUAAAAAGAAUGGACUGGAGGAAUGUCUCAGUUGGCAAAGUGCUUGUCUUGCUUGUGGAAAAGCCUGAGUUUGAUCCCCAAUACCCAUGCCCAAACAGCUGACUUGGUGGUACAUGCUUAUAAGCCAGAAACAGUCAAAUUGAGGCAGGAUGGUCCCUGGAGCUCACUGGCCAGCCAGUCUCUCCUAAUUGGUGAACUCCAGGUCAAUGAGAGAUCCAUAUCAAAGGAGGCGGGUGGCGUUCCUGACCAUGACAUCUAACACUGUCUUCCACCUUCCACACACAUUCACAUCUCACUGCACACAUAGGCACAAAAACAUGUGUAUUUAAAACAUAGAAAAGAGAGUGGAAUGGGGUGGCUGGUUCCAGUGAUCCUAGCACUCGAGAGAGUGUGGCAGGAGGGUGGGUGUGGAUUUUAGACCAAGCUAGGCUACACAGUGAAUUUGUGGUUAGCCUUGGAUAAAAAAAUGGGACCCUUGGACUGGAAAAAAGCCUCUGAGUGACAGUGUAUGCCACAUAAGCCUGAGUUUAGGUCCUUAGAGAAAUACAGCUAUAGCAUCGACCUUUGCAACCUAAGUACCUCCAUGGUAAGAUGCAAGACAGAGACCCAAGAAGCACCCCGACCAGAACUCAUGGGCCAGCUAUUCUGGAGUAUGAAACGUCUUCUAAAUCUUGCCUCAAAUGAGGUAAAAGAUGAGAACAGAUUCCUGUAGGUUGUUCUCUGACCUUUCAUAUCCUCUAGGACAAGUGUGCCUAGGGCUAUGGACCAAAGCAAAAUUCUAUUUGGAAAUGCAGUGCUUACAAUAGUAGGUAGGAUACAAAGUUUAUAAUAUGUAGUUGAAUGGGGACAGUUGCAUCACGUGUCCUGUGAUGUGCCCUUAUUUUUUUUUAAGUAUCUGUUUGUAAUGGCUUAAAACUGGAAGCAACCUAAAAGUUCGUCAACAUUGGAGUGGAUAGAUCAGUUACUAUGUGGCUAUGGAAUAUAACAUAAGACUAAAAAUAAACUAGGGCCACAAGAAAACCUGUGAGUGAACAGUAAAAAAACACCUGUUGAGCAAAUAAACCAGAUCCAAACAAACAUUCUGUGUAUGAGUCAAUAUCUAUGAAGCUCAAAAUCAAGCAAAAUCAAUGCAUGCUUGUGUGUCUUUGGAGAAAAGGGAGAUGUGGUUAUCAGGAAGUGUUACUGAGAGUGAGGGUUUGACAUGAGGGCCAGUGCUGCUGUUUUGACUUUUUGUGGAUUUUUCUGUUUGUUACAUUUCUGUUUUUAAAUGUUAUUGCUAAAAGAACACUGAGCAAACAUCUCGCAUAGAUUAAAGAUGGUAGAUUUGGGACGAAUAUUCAGAGGACCAUCUCAUUCAGAUGAGAGAGAGAGAGAGAGAGAGAGAGAGAGAGAGAGAGAGAGAGAGAUCACUAAUGAUUAAAGAAUUCCAGAAACUGUGUGUGAAGUUGUUCACAGUGGCUCAACUUGGCUCAACUUGGCAGGAGAGUUUUCGCUUGCAGCUUUACACAUUUCUGUACCGUUGAAUAUUUAACAGCAUCUAUUACACUAUAUGGGGUUUUUUUUAAUGCUUCUCUUGUGAAAAACGAAGGAAGCAGGUUCCUCAUUGGGCCAGGUCGCUGGGUUAGCCUGUGCAUGGGAAAUGGGGCUGAAUGAGACUUACAAUUUAUGGAUCUGUAACUGUCUCCAUAGCUCCUGGGGAGAAAGUACAUCCCCACACUGACCACAGUCUGAUGUCGAUGUGCCGUCUCCCACCUGGGGCAUCAACAUCCUGUAUGUACCACUCCAGGUCUGCUGACUCCAUACCCACUCAUCUUCUCAGUUGCUAGGCAAUAUGUAAUUAAAUUUUGGAAAGCCUCUCCCACCCUGGAUACAUUAGCCUGGACUUUGCAUCUGGCAGUCUUAGAAAGCAAAACUCUACUCUCUUCAGUCCCCCACCCCCUGGCUUGCAAUUGACUCACAAUUUAAUUAAAAUGAUUCCAGGGACAUCUGGUCUCCUUUUCUAGGAGCGUAUUUGUAGUUGGUUUAUCUGCUGUGGUUUUGUUUGCAAGCCGUGGAUUUAUUUACAGAGAUAGAGGUUCAUUUUCCUCUCUUAGGCAUUCUUUGUGGUCUUUACUAGUGUUCCAAUUUGAAGACUGUGGCCAUUCUUCUGUAUGCUGAGCUCCUAAUGGGCUGUUUUUCUCUGUGCUCCUGCUCAGCCACAUGAUGAACAUACCUGUCACUGUGCUGACCCCACUCCUGCUAAGAGUACCAGCUCACAGCUGGGGAAUUCACAAUGCCUCUUUAGGUAUCCCACCCACUGGGUUCCCUUGCCAUCAACAUUGUGUGUGUGUGUGUGUGUGUGUGUGUGUGUGUGUGUGUGUGUUGCUAGAAAUUUAACUUAUGGCCUUGCACAUGCUAAGCAAAUACUCUACAAAGCUAUAUUUUUUUCUUAAUAGACAUAAGAUGGAUGUUAAAGGAGUCCUUAAAGUGGUAUUUGUAAGCAGAGAUCUAAGAAUUCGAGGGAUGAGGCAGAAAAAUCAUUAGUUUGAGAUCAAUCUGGGCUACAUAGGGAGACUCUGUGACACACACACACAUACACACAUAUACUCAUACACACUCACACACACUCACACUCACACGCAUGCACUCACACACACUUAUAUUCACACACACUCACACUCACACACACAUUCACAUACUCUCCUGCACACACACAUUUGCACACACUCACACAUACUUGCACACACACACACUUACACACACAGUCAUGUGCACAUGCCACAUACAUAUACACACAUUCACAUGUCCUAUUGUACACAUUCAUAUGCACACACAUGCACACACACUCUCACACGCUCAUAUGCACACACACACACACACACACACACACACACACACCAUGGGGUGAGGAGGGCAUCAUCAAGGAGAGUGGAUUAGGGGAGCCAGUUGUACCCUGAGUGGUCCCCAGCAAACUCACUGACCUUUCUGUCUUACUUUCCAAAUGAGUAGUUGGAUAUAAUUAGCUUUUGUCCAAAUGUUAGAUUAUUUCCAGGCUUUUGCAAUUUGUUCUAUGCCCACAUGUUUCCUAUUAACUUGAACAUUCUUAUUCAAAUUAACUCCCUUUUUCUUCCUUCAGAAGUGUGUGUGUGUGUGUGUGUGUGUUUAUAAUGGGAACUUUAAAUCAGCACAUAAAUGGUAAAGUACCAUCAUUCACCUUAACGAGAAGAGAUCUCUAAAAAAAGUCAGCAUAAUUUAAAAAAACAGAGCAAUAUCAUUAAUAUGCACUUAGACAUUGCUGUAUGUUAAACCCCUUGCCUGAAGACUUUUUCCUCUCUUGGCUUAGAAGGAAAUUUAUCCAGAAGGCAUAAAGACUUGCUGGGGACCUACAGCAUGAGCACCACUUUGAUUUGUCCCCUUAGCCAGUUCCAGAAGCUGAAAGAACAGAGAAGGAAAUUCAAAGUUAUGAUGGGUAAUACUCUUUGUCAAGUUUGCAGAAUGUAGAAUUACCACAAAGGUUAGCCUCCAGCCACACCGGUAAGGAAUUACCUACAUUAGGUUAGCCUCUGAGAAUGUCUGUGAGGAAUUAGCUCUUCUGGGCACUAAUUGCAGUGGGAAGUCCUACACUGUGAGUGGCACCAUUCCCUGGGCUGAAGUUCUAGGAUGAAGAAAAAGGAGAAUGUGAACUGGGUUGAGAACUAGCUUUCAUCAUUUAGUCCUUCCUGACUGUGGGUGGAGUUUAAGCUUCGGCUGCCAGGACUUUUCUCCCACAAUGCUCUGCACCUUCUAACCGUGAGAUACAAUAAAUCCUUCCUUCCCUAAGCUGCAUUGAUCAGGUACUUUGUUCCAGGAUUGAGACAGGUAACCAAAGUACUGUUGGAGGAUAAGUAAUAUGAAAUGGUGACUUAGUAGUCAGCUGAUUAUCUAGUAAUCAAGAAAUAACUUAGAGAAGCACUUUAAUAAGGACAGAUCAUCUGGGUGGUCCUUUGAGGAAGUAAAUAACCGCAGGCUAGGAGUGGACCCAGAACUCCAUGUCUGGGGUUGGUGGGCUGAGGCAGAAUAGGUUUUGCUUAACCUUUCCAGAGUUCGCAAGCAGCUCUCUAGUCCUCAGAGCCAUGUGGUUCUCAGCCUUAGGUUUCUAUCUGGGGUUCCCCGUGUUUUAGUCAAGCUUUCUUCCUUCCAAGGAAUGUAAGCCUAAAAUUGUUUUUAAAAGGUGCUAUAAAGCUAAACAAAUCACCUGUAAUUCAGAGAUGAGAAGCAUCCCAGCAGUCUCCCUCUGCUUGUUUCUCCAUCCAUCCAUCCAUCCAUCCAUCCAUCCAUCCAUCCAUCUGCCAUGCCUCCUCUGCCUUGUGGUUCAGUCUGGCCAAUCAGGCAUUCCUGAAAGCUCGUUGGUCUUCCUUCUUUCAAUGUUCUAGCUCCUCUAAGCACAAGUGAUUCAGGGUGGGCAGUCGGACUGAGUCAGGUAUCGUCUGAUUCUGUGAGGUCAGGAUGCUAGUCCUGGACUGUUUCGGGGCCACUCCUGCUCAAAGGAAACCUUAGAACUCUUACUCGGGAGAUGAGAAAGACAGGCUGGAAAGAGAAGAGCCGGUGUGCUUGACAGGUACUCAUCUGAUGUGCUCCUCCCACUGUCAAAACUGGGCAAUCUUUGAGGAAGAAACUGACCAUCUACCAUGCUCUACCUAGCGGUUCACAGCCACAUGGAACUGGUAUCUGGGAGGCCAUAACUCUUCUCUGUGUUGUGACUUCUUAGCUGCCAGAGAAGCAUGCAAAAGUGCAUGGGCAGGGGAGACUUCAGGAAACUCCUGGACUUGCUGGUCAGUUCAUUUUGCAUCGGCUGUGGAAGGAAGGGCUGGACAUUACAGGAAAAGCUAAUGACAUAUGAGCAGAUGUGAGCUCAAAUACGGCUGCUGACAUUUAUCAGCUAUUUUCUCCUGAGUGCUCAUUCACACCUGACUUUGGAUCUAUAAGACAGAUUUUAAGAGACUAACAGCUGAAAUGCCUUGGGGAAGGUUAAAUGGACUCAUCUCAUCUGUUCUCUGGUCCUGAGGGUUCCUAGCCUGGCAGAAAAGACUUGAAUAUAAAGUUGCACCACACUACAGAGUGCUACAGUUAGCAAGAGGGGCAGUCCAGAGCGGUUAUAGGAUACAGGAUGGGGUAGAUGACUCUGACACCCAGGAAGCCAUGUUCUCUCUGGGCUUCGAAAAGUUGAGAUCUCUUUGAGAGCAGAGGAUGGUGGAGACAAGGUUCUGGCUAAAGGGAAGUCUUAAACAAUGGCAAAGAACAUGAGUAUGUAAGGCAUGUCUGGGGAAGCAGGGACAGAGUGCUCCAAGCUCAAGCCUACCUUUAUUGUAAGGCUUUACUGGACGUCUCGUGCAUCAGAAACUAGAAAGGCAGGAAGGGAUUGGCUUGUGCAAAAAGCUAACACUACCUUGCUAUUUCCACCGUCUUCUGUCUUCCAGAUAUCCAGGUUGUCUUGCCAUUGAUUGAGUCUCAGUAAGAAAGGAUCAUCACCGAGAGUCCCAAGAGGGGAUAUUUCAUGAGGCUGUAGCAAGAAGCCAUUUUUGGACACAAAAUCAAUUGCAAAAGAGCACAGGGAGCCUUGCCGCAUAGUAAAGUAGCAGUGGAGAGCAAACCAAGGCAAUUGUGGGAAAUUAUUGCUUUAAUUCAAUCAGUGGUGGCCCUUUCACCCUCUUCUCUGGCAGAAAAAAAAAAAAGAGAAGAGCUGGCUGAAGUUCAUUAGCCAGCAUCAAACAUAAAGUAAAUAAAUGCGUUCUCUGAAGCCAUGGAGAUGAUUAUUCCCCUCUCCCCAUGUUUGUGGGGCAAGCCGACCAACUUCUCUAUGAGGUAGGGAGCCCUCAGUGUUCCUCAGUCUCCCUGUCUUUAAAAAUGGGAUGAACAGAGGCUGGAGAGAUGGCUCAGUGGUUAAGAGCACUGGCUGCUCUUCCACAGGGCAUGGUUUGAUUCCCAGCACCAAUUGGGCAGCUCACAACCAUCUGUUACUUCAGCUCUGGAGGAUCUGAUGCCUUCUCCUGGCCUCAGGCAUCAGGCCUGCAAGUGGUGCACAGACAUCCGUGCAGGCAAAGCCACACACAUACAAUAAAAUAAAAAUCUUAAGGAAUGUGGUGGGAAAUCGGUUGUGAAUUAAGGAAUGUGUACUAAACUGCUUUGAAAGCUGAGAGGUGACUGUGCUUAAUAUGAAAAGUAUGAUCCCAUAGAGAAAUUACUUCAUAGCAGUUUUGAACCCUGAGUUCCUUAUUUAAUGAUGGAACCUAAACAUUUUUCUGAAUUAUUGAAACUCUUUAUAGUGGUGUGUGUGUGUGUGUGUGUGUGUGUGUGUGUGUGUGUGUGCGUGUGUGUGUGAGAGAGAGAGAGAGAGAGAGGAUCAAUGCAUCCAUGUGUAUUAGUCAGAGGCUAGCAUUGCCUGGUAGACUCCCUCUGUCACUCUCUCUACCUUAUUUCUUCGAUUGCUUGCUUGCUUGCUUGCUUGCUUGUUUGAGACAGAAUCUCUUACUGAAUCUAGAGCUCUGAUCCUCAUGCUCACACAACAAAUGCUUUACCCUCUGAGCCAUCUCCCUCUCCCUCUUCUGGCUUUUAAAUGAACAAUUUCAGUACUAUCAUGGGUAUACCCCCCCCCCCAUACCUUAGACGCUCCCAUACAGCUUAACCUCGCCAUUAUGUUCAAUUUCUGCUCUUACGCUAAUAUAAAAAUGACCCACCUUUGGGCUUACAGGGGUUCUCCUUCUUUUAAUAUCUUAGAUGAUUUUCCUUGGCACAGAAUUAUUGCAGCACAAAAGGGGACAAAUCUCUUUGGAAUGCCCAUUGACAGGUACGCACUGGAUCCUUUCCAAAGGACUGUAUACUGUUUCUCACUCCCAGGGACAUGCUGGAGUCUGGGUGUCCAAUCCUCAUUGACUUGGGCUGUAAAAUUCCCCAGGAUAGGAGCCCAGUUUCCCACCCAGGGUGAAGAGUGUUGCUGGCACACAGUUGCAGUAGAGCUCUUUCCUCCAGAGGUGACAUGGCUGUAGGUCGGCUCAGGCAACUUACAGAAGACCUUGUCCACAGACAUGGAAAAGAAGUUAGCAGAGCGGCGCUGAUAGCUAGGCCUAUGGCAGUGCAGACCUUAGCAUUCCCUUGCAGACAAGAGAGCAGGGCCACCAGAUCCUCACGUGAGAUUCAGUUACCAUUCCUGCAUGCCCUAGCAGCCAUUGCCUUGGGGUGCUAGAGUGAACCAGGGUGUGCUGCAGGCUUGAUAUGUCAUCAGUUAUGUUAGGGGCGGGGCAUCUUCGUGACACAUCUGCUUUCGAGUCACUUAUAUUCCUCCUGUAAGUGAUCCCAGUAAGAACACUGGGUCACCAAGCUGGACUGGAACAGAACCUUUUACUGUGCGUGGGUUAGGUUCUGGUAGCGCCAGAAUCUUUAUGGUCUUACAUUCCAGGACAAGAAAUUGAAGUGGGGCACAUGAGUAGUGGUAGAAGCAGAGACAUUUCAUUAAGGAAGAGAGCCAAAGAAAGGAAUGGGCCAGAGCUGGCAAUGAAGGUCAGAGGCUUGGUGACCCAGAGCUCACGUUACUAUGAUAUUUUUAUAUGAAAUUUUUAAGUUAUAAUACAUAAUGCAAUGUAAGCCCAGUAUUUAGAAAACAGUAGUAAGAAGGACAUGUACAUUGGGUGCACAUAUAAAUCUCCCUCAUUCUCCCACUCCUCCCUGUGUGUCCCCCUAUAUCUUCCCUUCCCAGUUAUCCCCACGUCUUCAUUAUAGCUCAUGUGUUCUGAUGCCUUCCCAUUUCCUAUGCUUUAAUCUCAACGGCUCCGAGUCUGGAGAAUCGUGACCUUCUUUGGUCAUUUACAUAUCGUACAUGUUUCUUGUUACGUGCAGCCUGCUCUCCUCCCUCCAUUUCCCUUCUGUGCUAAUUUUGACCUCACUUUCCGGCCAUCCUUUCUUUGGUUUGGUGGUGCCUUAUCUGUAAUGAAUAGGCAUGCAACAAGAAUCACCUUUGCUAAGGGGAUGAUCAGUUCAUCUUCCUUAUCAGGGAGUCUCCAUACUCAUAACCACUAAAGAGGUUAGCAUACAACUUCACGGUGGCAACCUGUGAAAGAAUGAACACACAGUGUGGAAACCCCAAUAAGAAACCUGAGCACAGCAGAAAGUCCUAGGAGACACUCUCUCUCUCUCUCUCUCUCUCUCUCUCUCUCUCUCUCUCUCCCUCCCUCCUUCCCCCCUCUCUCCCUCUCCCUCUCUCCCUCUCCCUCUCCCUCUCUCUCCCUCUCCCUCUUUCCCUCCCACUCCCCCUCCCACUCUCUCCCUCCCCUCCUCUUUCUCUGUGUAUGUGUGUGUAAUGGUGAUAUCUGUUAGAUUUGCUUAUAUACUGAGCUGGAUAGUCCUGCAACGAAUGUCUGCAUGUUGGAGAAGCUGAGAACAUGGUAGCUACUCGGCCUAUGGUGCCGAAUCCCUCAACAAUUCCAAUCCGAUACUGAAAGCUUGGGGGUUUCCUGGAGAGUGGUUAGCCUCCAGUCCAUGCUGGAAGGCUGGAGAACGAUGGGUUGUAAAGGCAACAAAGAGUAGUGGCAGUGGGGGCAGCCGCAGCAGGAGCAGCAGCAGCAAUAGCAGCAGCAGCAACAGCAAUAGCAGCAGCAGCAACAGCAAUAGCAGCAGCAGCACUGUAGAUGUGCUCCCUUGUAAGAAUUGAAGGCAGGCAGACAAUGAAGCACCUUUUCCCUCAGACCCCCUUAUAGCCCACUAGGGGAUGGUUGUUCUUCCUCAGUUAAUGCUUCUAAAAAAAUGCCUUUGCAGAUCUUUUUAGAAGUAUGACUUUUACUUGAUUCCAGACCCAAACAAGUGGCAGCCAAGACUAUCACACCUGUUCCAGAUGACAGAUAUAAACAGCUUCCUAUGCUAGGAAGCCAGAGAAAAUUCACCAAUAAAAGGUGGUCAAACUCAUGAUCCUUCAGCUCAGAUUUUCACCGUUUCAACAUGUCGCACCUCUACCUAGACAGGUUCUAUGACCACCAGGAAGAAGAGACUCUGGACCACUUGAUUCUGGCUACAUUUUCAGGGAAGUAGUCAGUCCCAGGAUGGAAGGCAAUGUCCAACCUAAAGGAUCUUCUUAUCAUUCUUUAUAAUCUCUUUGCAUGUGAUGCCAGCUUGAGAGGUCUCAGCUACCUGCCUUUUCCUGUUCUUACCCUGUUUACCUUAAGAGAAGACCGUCUCUCGUUUAUUCAUUAAGGAUAAUGCAUGGCCACAUGUAUGCCUUCUCUCAUUUCAUCUUCAGAAAAAAUCUAGAGUGUGGCCACUAUGAUCUGCCUGGUAGUCUUCUCCAGUGUCCCCCCCACCCCCACCCCAGACAGCAGGUAUCGGAAGUGGGAUCCAGAAGUCACUACUCACAGCUUCUAUUCUCAGAUCUGACUGACGCUAUGUUGAAACCUGUGUAUACCUCAUACCCAAAGUACCAUGGGCUCUGUCAUAGCCUCUCUAGUUCUUUACUAGUUCAUACUGGAUCCUAACCAGUAUGUUCUCAAAUCACUCUUGCUUUGUUGAUGCUUCUCCUCAUGGCCGUGGCUAGCAGAGUCCUCUCUGCAACAGUAAUCUAUCAAUUACUGUCAGUGUGAUCUGUGUGAACCAUUCAAACAUGGUUCCAGGUUUAGUUUCUUAUUUGUAGCAAGUAGACAACAAUGUCACCCCUUCUUUUCUGGGUUACCUUUCAUUUUCCAUCUCUUUCUGCCUCAUAGCUUCCUUCUUUCAUUUGCCGAGUGUCUCCUAAGCACUUCAUUGUGCUCUAAGCAGAACUAGAAACUAAAGCCACACUUUGCAGCUGUGAAACUCCUCCACAGCCUUUUGACCUCGUGUAUAUUAUUGGUCACUGUUAUUUCUUAUAUUUAUACAUUAUCUGACCACAACUGUACUAUUUUACAUUUCCUUUGCUCCUUGUUUCAUGCUACUUAAAGUGAUCAGGGAAUGUGUGUAUAUCUGGGCACAGUGAGCCUUGAAGCCCCAGUGUUUGGCACAGUGACUGACGGGUACUGAUUACUCAGAGGAUGGCAGUUAGAUAAAUUUACAUGGCUAUCUUCCUAAUGACCACCUCAGUUCCUAGAGCAUCUGCAUUAUGUUUAUGUCAGAGCCAGAAGGGAGCUUAAGGAAUUUCUGAGACGAUUCUCCUAUGGUGCUCCCUAGGGGCUGGAAGGUCAAACCCACUGAUCUGUGACGGAACUACGUCUCCCUGUAACCACAAUAUACCCUCUUCCCAGUACUUGAUUGGUUUCAGUGGGUACCACCACUGCCAUUGACUCAUCUAUACUGGUCUGAAGGAUGAACCCUUUUGAAUUCAUACUACAUUUAUCAUUAUUGUGAGCAAAUGCCCAACAUUAGCAGCUUAAAGGAAGCAAGAUUUUCUCUGGCUCUUGGUUCCAGAGGGUUCGGCCCAUGAUUGUGUGACUCUAUGCACUUGGGUAACACACUGUGUUUGCGAGGGUGUAUGGUAGAGGCUGGUCUACAUUUUUUGGCAUGAUGGAUGCAAAGAGAGAGAGACAGAAAAGAGCUAGAUGGGACGUAUUCCCAAGUACAUGACCUGCAUGUCCUACUUCCUCUGGCUAAGUGCCACCUCCUCCUUCUCACUGACUCCCAAUAACGCCAUCAGAGCAUGAAUUCAUCAAAGAAUUAGUCCACUGAUCCGUUCAGAACCCCCAGGACCCAAUCAUUUCCCUGCACAGGAUAUUUCUUGCUCGAACUGUAACAGACUUGAAUGAGGCCAAUAUAGAUGUGUGCUGAUUGUGGAGGCUCCCAGAAGGUGCCAGAAGGUCUCAGGUGCAGACUGUGCUCUUGCAUAAUGCAGGCCCUUGAGAAAGGUCCCCAAGGCGCUGUCACCCUGGCUACUGGCCAUCACAGCCACAUGGGAGGUAAGAACAGAAGAGAUACCCUCAGAGCAAGUGGCUCCUGGCUGCUCAUGGGGGCUCAGGCUGUCUUUGAUUCCUGGAGAUGAAUCAGCUGCAAAGCUGCUCCCACCAACCUUGGCGCUAAUGAGGUCUUUGAAAUAAGCAAAAUUCCUAUCUGUAGUUGAGAGCACAGAGGGAAUUAGUCCUGGGCCUGCAGCACAGAGCCCCUCAUUAGCCAUUUCUCUCACACCAGCACUCUAAAUCCUGCUGGGCAGCCAUGCAGAGGGCCAAAGAGCAAGUUGGCUCAGGUAUCUAUUGGAAGAGAUGGCAUCCCUGGAAAUGCUUGUUUCUCAGCUGUGGUUCCCAUGCUCAUAGAACGAUGUUUGUUUUACCCUUCUAUAGGUUUAGUGCAUUGAUGUACAUAGGAGAAGCCUGUGGCCCAGUUACCUCUGAAUAGGUGACCCAACACAGAAGAAGCGAAAAUCAGGAUGAAGAUAGGAACUAAGAUAGUCCUAAGGAAGAUGAAGAACUGUGUACCCUACCUACCUAUAGGAAUUUUAUGGGAGACCAGAGAGCUCAGAGUUCCCCCAGGACAACCCACUAAGGGACUUGGUUACCUAAGUGUCGCUCAGAAACUUGUUCACCUGCUGCAGGGCUGUGAGCCUUCUUAAUUCUCUUCCUCUUCUCUUCUUCCUCUUCAAUGUUUUUCCUUAUCGUAGACUAAGAACUUCUUAGGGACAAGGACCUGAUCAUGUUGCUGUUUCCGAAUAUCCGAGAUCUGGUAGUAACUUUUAUACAUCACAAGCAUCAGCUUGACUAGAGUGUACUGAAUGAAUCAACUGUAAUGUAGGACAAAUUUGGACUCCACCUAUCCCACGAGGAGUUGUUAGAACUGGCCAUGUCCAAGAGAUUUGAAGUUUAAGAUUUCAUUGUCACCUUCCGUUUUCUGCUUUUGGUGAUACAAUAGGAAAAAGGAGGUAUAGCCCUAAGGAUACAUCAGGAAACAUGUAGCAUGACCCCAGCUGUCCUCCACCUCUAGUAAAUCACCACCACCACCACCACCACCACCACCACCACCACCACCACCACCAUCAUCAUCAACAACUCAGUCCAGUCAAGCCCAGUGGAUACAUAUGGGAUUUUAUUUCAUUCAUCACCAAUAAUGCACCAAGGUGUUUCUGAACCAAAAUAUCAUCUCGGCAUGGCUAUAAACCUUCGGUCAUUUUGCUCAAUGACUUCACUUAAUCAUUGAAACAGUCAGCAUGACUUACUAACCCUGGAUUCACCUGUGUCUCUGGAAGGCAAAUUCUCUCUUCUACAAUCAUACAUCUCCACUCAGGAAUCAACCCUUUGGGACCCAGUACUUGUAUUUUUUACUCUACUGAAAAGCACCAACUCAAAUCCCAAAUUGGGAGGUCAUCUUCAACAUCUGUGAGAGAAUCCUGAGAGGCACAUGAAGAGGGAGAAUGAUGGCAUUGGUCAAACAGCUGGCUGGGGAUAGGCUAAAAGACUAGGAACUUCAGUGUUAGUGGGUUUUUUUUUUGUUUGUUUGUUUGUUUGUUUGUUUUUGUUUUUUCAUGCUCCAGCAAGAGCUAAUGACACUUAUUUACAUAUGGUUCUCCCUUUCUCCUUCAUGUCGUCCUACUUACCUUCUGUAAGCAGCCCGGGCUUUUCUAAUUUGUAUAUCUAAAGUGGCAAACCUCUCUGCUGUCUGUUGUUGGCAUCUCCUCCGUCCUCCCCAACCAUCUCAGAAAAAAAGCCUGGGUCCUAUGUGUAAUUUACUGACACAACUGUCUUCCCUGCAGGAACCUGGUUCAGAGGUUCCUCCCAUUCCUGCUCAUGCUCAGCAACGGAGGACAUUGGGGAAAUAGCAAUCCCACCCAACCCCACAGACAGUGCAUGUUCUCCUGAGAGCAUCAGCCACAAGCUAACGCACACCACCCACAGGGAAAGACAACCCUAAUCAGAAGGCUCACCAGACAAGUGACAAAUGUGAAUUGGCCAUGGGUGUGACAGAGUCCCCCAGAUCUCAGUCCGAGCUGAUUCACUGUACUCAUGCAUCAUUAAGUCCAUCCACAGGUGACAGGUUCCAGGGUCUGCAGGUUAGCACAUCUGCCAGGCAGCCAAGGUUGAGGCUCUGCUUGUUCUGCAGCUUCAUCCCAGCCUGUAGCUCCUUGCUUUCAGGGAAUCCUUGAACAUGAUUCAUCAACUCCUAUCCUCACAGGAAGACAUAUUCAAGCAUACAAAUUCCGCGCAUAAACACAUUUGUCAUGAGCGCACACAAAUACCAAAUAGACUUUUCUUCAGUGUUCAAACAAAUCAAUUUUCACAUGCUAUGCAUGCGCACACAAAUAUACAUUGGGUGCACAAAAGUACACAGGUCCAGUCUACAAAUGCUACAGUCACCACCCAUGUGCCCUGUUCUCUCAGCACCUAUGUGCAUGUGUAGACAUAUUGACUCCUAUGUAUGCACAUCUCCAGUGCAGGAGCAGACAGGCUCACUCCUCCGUCGCUCAGCUGUAGUUGUGAGUAGACUAUUAACUAUCGAAGAAACACAGCUUGAUCUCAUACUGGUUUCCACACAAGAAAUACUUAACAGAGCAGGCACUUCACAAAUUAAGAGAUGCUUUGUCCCAGGAUAGACCUCUGUUCAGUUUAUUCAGUCAAAUAAAGAACUUUAGAUUUCUUCUACUAAUGUCAAAUACCACAGUUUUCUUAGUGGCAGAGUCACAUAAUCAUAACAUGAGUAUCAGCAAAGGUGCAUUGGAGGUGAGAAAUGGCAGUCUAGAAAAUCUAUAAUGUUAAGGUCUUGUACCCACUUGGGAGCAAGGGUGGGAUCAGAAACUUGUCUCUUGGCUCUCAGUAUGAUUACCUUAUUGGUGAAGUCACUGGCUUGUCAUAAUACACAAGCAUUUGCACAUAUCAGUCUUGAGGCCAGAGCCUCAGCAUAUACGCAUGAAUAUAAGUCCUGACCUGAAGACCCAUCUGGAGCUUAGGGAUAAAUCCCAUCAUAUUGCUGACCUUGAUGGACAUGGUUAAAUCUAAAGUCUUUUGAUCUCUCACCAUAGACAUUUAAUAAAAGUCAGGAGCCUUUCUUCACAGAAAUAUUCAUUCUCAUUUACAUGGCGUACAAUUUCAGAGAAGUUUGUAACCCUAGGGUCACAAUCAUGCUGCCUACCUAGGUACCACCUCAUAGACUCACAAAGGGUCACACCUGACUACCACAUAGGUACCUUAGUUGCCAGAUAAACAAAAAGCAUGGAUUACCUUACAUUUCAGAGCAGAACUUAAGCUAUGGAAUAGGACCCAUCUUGGGGGCACGUCUCAGAGAUGACUAUACAGAUUCCCCUUGGUAGAGAAGACCUGAGUGAGAUUGUCAACCAUUAACCCUUUCUGACCCCCACCAGAAAGGGGAUUGGGCUGCCCAGAGAGCAAUAAACAACUUAGACUGACAUGUACCUACUUUCCCCUAACUACCCCUGAAGCUGUCCUCCUUCCACAUUUCAGCCUUGGGAUAGCCACAAUCCCCAGUGAAUGUGACAAUGAAAGUUUCCUAUGCCAUUCAUUUCCAUAGCCUCACAUAGCUAAAAGAUUCCAGGAGUAAUGUGCCUUGGCAAGGGGCUUCAUUGCUCUUCUGGAAGCGAUCUGAGUUCUGACUGCUUUCCUUAUCAGACGACACCUUUGCUUGAUGAAAGAUAGCUGCUGGGCCCCUCUCUGUGCUACCUCCUACACAAACAACGUUCUCUCUCUUCCUGGCGCUCAGCAGAAGGCUGGGGUGAUUUGGUCCAGCUCUGAGGCAAUGACUGCAGACUAAUGAUACAUUCUCCACGUGAAGCAUGCAUCCCAGCACAGGAGCCAAGAUGCUCUGGAAUGGUCCUUUUCAUCCAGUUCCUCCUUUGGCCUUCCUCCUCAGCCUCUAAUCUGAGCAUGGAAACAAAACCAGAACUUCUCCAUUUAGGGAGCUCCUUCCGAGUCUCUGCAACCAAAAAAAUCAAGAGAUGAACCCACUUGGGAAAGAAACAAAACUGGCAUUAUUGAAAGUCUGCUAGCCCAUUGGUGGCAGCCUUUCUCAACUGUAGGUGACUUGGGUGACAGGUGACAUAUGGCAAUGUCCAGAAACAUAUUUGGUUAUCAUAAUAAGAUGUGGUAUCUAUUGAGCAGAAUAGACGGAUGGGCAAACUCCCUACAGGGCGUAGAGCUCCCUCCCACCACCAAGGGUGUGUCCAUGUACAGAACUUUGACAUAGAUUCUCAGACACAUCCUUAGCCUUUUGCUUUGAGAAUAAGUAGAAGCAAAAAUUAGUGGGAAAUAAUUCUUCCCUUAUUUUUGAUGAUAGAUGUUCAUUUGUUUUGAAAUCAGGAAUUGAAUUGGGAAAAGGUGUCCUUCCCUGUCACCCUAAGAGCCCUGCUCCAAUCCUGCUAGGCAGUAAAACUCAUUCCUCUCUGAUUCCCUUCCUAGAAUUGCUGCAGGACUGUCUGACACACAACUCAGUCCUCUUGGAGAGUACAGGAGAAAGCCCUCCUCUUAGAAGGCCUUCUCCCCCUCUGCCAGAGCGUCCCACGAGACCUUCUCCUUAGGAACUGGGAAGUUGGUGGUUGUUGGUUCCUUCCCAUGGGACCAAGAUAGAAGAGUGUUCUGAAAUUGUUUCAUCCCCAUACCUGACCCCUUUGGAGCUCUUUGCUCUUCAGAGACAAGAAGCAUGAGGUCCAAAGUCACUUGGUAAUAAUAGAAUUAUAACCCCAUCUCAUAAUCCCUUCUAUAGGGAUCUUUCCAAGGUCUACUUUGACCACAUUUCCCCAGUAGUGACUGAUACUGGGUGAGUGCCACAAAAGCCAAGAAAUACUGCCCCAAUGACCUGAACAGAAAAUGAUGGCUUCUCCUGGCCAGGGCAUUGCUAGAUGCCUAGGGAUCAGUGCAGACCUAGGACUGUUGAUAGAUUUCAUUCUGUCCUAAGAGUCAGCAACAAUUUCAUCCAGAGAAAAUAUUACUCUAUUAUGUAUGCACCCUCCAAUCACAGCCCAAAGGAAACAUGCUCACAAAACACCUCCCCCUGAACCAAACCCAACAACAGCCUGUCAAACUAAGCAGAUCAACUGUUUUCAAGUUCUCUUAAUAUCUAUUUGCUAUUGUUCUCUCCCUUUGUCAUCAGCUGGUACUUGCCAGCAGACAAGUGGUAAUUGCUGCCAGAGGCUUAAGGAAAUUUAUUCAGAAGAACUAAACAUGGAGAAAAAUGGGAUUCAUUUACCGACUUUCUGUAGGUUAGGGAGACGGCAGCAAAUGGAGGAUAUAGUGACAACAUCCUUUGGUCCAGGGCACUGCACCUCAAUCUUCAUUUUGGCUUUGAUUGAUGUAUGGAAGGUUUUUGUGAAUAUAUGGUUUAAUGAGAAAAAAUGAGUAGAGCCCAGCCCAUUUGGAUAUAUGCACGGCUGGGAUGCCACUGCAGUGACUUUGCCAACUCAAACAGAUCCUCUCAGACCCUGAUGUGCCCCAAUCCCUGCUUCCAUGGAGCACCUGAAGAGAAUGGCAGUGGUAAAGCGAUGGGCACAAUUAGGAGGUAAGCUUCAAUAAGGUUACAGUCACAUCUACAUCUUUCAGGACAUGUCUCUAACAAGAAAUAGCAAACCCUCAGCCUAUCAGAACUCGGAAAAACACCCUGUGUCCCUGUCGUGUCUGCUCUGUAAUUAAUGACCCAUGUCUGUAACAGCACCCGCUGAUUUCUCAGCCUCCAGCUUUGCCUCAGUCCAAUCCGUGCUGCAACAGAAUGCAAAUCAAAUCAGCUCUCUGCUUUGAAUGAAGUCCUUCCAGGAGCCCCAUUGUGAUCAAGACGGAAUCUCAACUCUUUUCAUAGAUGAAAAGGGUUUGCACGCUUGAGUCCUGCUUGCUUCGAUAGACUUAGAAACCCUUUGCCGGUCUCGGAAGCCAUCCUCCAGAAUGUUUGCAGUCUCACUUUGUUUGCUUGGGGGAUUCCUAAUCAAUAUCUCCAUAGGACCCAUAUCUCCUCCUUUGAGAGAGUUCAUUGACCCCCUCGACCAACUCUGAAUCAGGAAACAAUGAGUAUGGUUUUAAGAGAAUAGAUUUUUCAGGUAGACCUAGUUGGGUCUUAGUUUGGUCGUCAUCUGAGCAUCUGACCCUGAGGAAGCAAGAUGACCACUCAGCUUCAUCCCUCCAUGCCCCUUCUUGCAGACAGGAAUAAUAAUCUGUGCACGCCCUAGGCUCUUGUGAGGAUCACUAGCAGUGUGCAGCAAAGCUCUAGAGUCCAGGAAGUGUUGCCUAAGGUGUUCCGCCCUCACCCCUUAUCCCACUUCCCGUCCGCUUCCUGGGUCUCUUUCCAGUGGGUCUCCUGUUCAGAAGUGCAGCUCAGAGUCUGGCUGAGAGUCAGCCCUGGCCACCUACUCGUGAUGCAUAUAUUCAUCUCACAUACAGAUACUCAUUGGAGAAGAAUGCAGGUCCCAGGUCCUACGUCAAAUGAACAGCAAGUUGUGAAAAUUAGGCUAACUUUUCUGAAGCAUCAAUACAGGUCCUCUUCCUGUAUUCUGUGUCACUUGAGCAAAUAAAUUAACAUCCCUUGGAGCCUCAGUUUCCAUGGCUGUAGGAUCAGGCCAAUGUCCCCCUGUCACAGGAUGGAGUAGGUAACACACACAGAAGAUGUUCAUCCAUGUUGCUUUUCUCUCUCACUUCCCUUUCCUGGGUUUUCUGACUUUGCUCAGAGAAGCCCCCGAGAACUGUUGUGUGCUCUGGGCUGGAGCCUCUCUGCCUUCCAGCAACCCCCCUUCAGUUUCUCACUCUCACCUGCCAGCUGCUGCCAGGAAUGCCUUGGGGAGCCGACAGUUAGGAGUUGCUGGGUAUCUGAAAUGCUGACAGUGUUAUUUCUGCUCUUUUAUAAUAUCGCAAGUCAAAUCAGCUCUGCAGAAUGUUCUGUAAAUAUCCAGAUAAAAAGGAUCAGAGAUAGGUCCCAAGAGUGCCAGAGGCCCUAAAGCUAGACCCACUUAAAGUAGGGAGGGGACAAUGUUUCCAAACCCCUUCUCUGUAGCUUCUGACUUAUACUUCCUCCCUCAUCUCAACUGACAGCCCCACCUCUCUGGAGUAGUGCUUAGCUUUAAGAGAGUGGAGAAAAAGAGGGAGGAAAAGGAGGGAGAGGAAAAAGGAGGAAUGGGAAAGAGGAAGGCAGAGGGACAGGGAAGAGGAGGGAUGAAGGAGAGGAGAGGACCUUAGCAGUUUCACCUAUGAGAAGGAAUGGAGCCUCCUUCCCAUAAGCCCCCUCACCUUGUAGGCAGAAUCACUGUUAGUGACUUGGUAAGGGAUGACAAACCUCACUGCUUCCUGUGACUUUGUUUCUUUCCACGCGGUACACCAGAUCUUUCAAAAAGACCCCCACACCCGAAUCCCUCCUCCAGCUGAAUGGAUUUCUGGCCAAGGCCACAUGGCUUCUGCUUCAAUGCAGCAAUUUGUCCGAGAGCACUGCUGCCCACCGGAGUGGAAAGAACCAGGAUUUUGAAGUCAAUCCCUAUAGGUGUCAAUCUGCCCACUUCAGUCUACUGACUGGAAGAUCCCAAGCAAGCCUUUGCUCCUCCAAGCUCAUGGUCAUUUUGUCAAGUGCAUUCUGUACAUAUACUUCAUACGGUGCCUGUAACAAACCAAGCUCCCAUUUAUCCCAUGUGUUUGUAUUUACAGUUUCUCCUGUCUGACAAGUUUCCCUGUGUUCACUACCUCCACACUCCCCUUUCCCAUUGAUGCCUGCUCUUCCUCCUUUCUCUGUGAAGCCUCACCAGGCUCUCUGACACUGGACUCUGUUCCCCAUGCUUCCCAGAGUGAGAACACCUACCUUGUCAUCUGCUCUUUUGCCUCACCCUCCAGGCUGCCUUAGAUGCUAGGGACACCCCAGUCUCCUCUCUGGUACACGGAAAUGCUCAAGAAUGCGAGUGAUAUGAAUGUAAACAGGUUCUGACCUACUCCUGCGAGCUGAGGGCACAGAGAUAUGCUAGAUGCUGCCCAGCAUAGAAGGAUGACUGCUCCCAAAGAAUAUGCCAGUCUCAUGUCUGGGAUUAAUAUGUACCUAGCAGUGAGCAGAAAGAUGUGGAACAGAGCAGGAAAUAGAAUCUAGUUAGAUUGGAUGAAGGUGGAGUGGUAAGGGUGUCUGUAAGAUCUAUAGUCAGGAAUUUCUCUUACCAGAACGGUAGCCUCGAGAUGGGGAUCAGGCUGCAAAGCUGAGGUAGGGAGAAGAGGCACAGUUACUCUCCCCAUUUUGUAGAUGAAAAGACCGAGCUUCAGGGACAGCAUAUGAAUUUUCCCAUAAUCAUGUCAGUAAUAGAAGCCAAAGCUUAUAGACACUGUCUCAUUUGAAGAUACUCUGUCUGCCCUAUUAAAUGUCUCCCAGGGAUCUCUGUCUCUGAGAGAAGAUGCAGACCGGGCAUUGGGGAUGGUUUAAAUCUUUCAUAUGGGGGUUGGGGAUUUAGCUCAGUGGUAGAGCGCUUGCCUAGGAAGUGCAAGGCCCUGGGUUUGGUCCCCAGCUCCGAAAAAAAAGAACAAAAAAAAAUCCUUCAUAUGCCUGGAUUUGGAUGCACCUUGAUGGCUCUCCUGGGAGAAGCAAGGUUUGGCUGAGACCCACAGAGAGGUUUGUGGGCUCACCUGAGAUAAAAACUGCAAAGUGUGAAGAGACGAUACCUUUAGGUUUGGACAUCUGUGCUGCCCUCAUUUUUGCUGUGGAGAACUAGGUCCGAGGAACAUAGCUGUGGAUGCAAGAGGUUGCCACCAGCAAUAUGUCUGCUCACAGGUGUGGGAUGUGCAGAGGAUCCGCGGUGUUACUGUGUGUGGGCGACGCGCAUGUGUGUUUAACAGCAAACACCCCACACUGAAGGGAGUCGGAUUGGAAAUGCCAGUUAAGCUGACGGAAAAAUAUUCAUUAUGGUGGAGUGGCGUCGUACACAUCUCGAGUUUACCUGCUGAAUUUAGAACAAGCUCAUUCAUCCUCUCUCCUCCCACUCUUCGUACAUGAGUGAGGUUCAACAGAACUAAACAAGCCAUCACAGGCUUGGCAAUCAGAGCUUAAUAUUAAUGAGGCCCCAUACCCUGGGAAGGGUAGAUAACUCACUCUUUCCACCCACAGCAGAAUCAAGAGGUAGAGCUAGUGGACAGUGACUACUUGUGGACCUGGGCUUGUGUUUUAGUGGAGCUCAGGCACUGGGUCUGUGACUGGUAUUGCCUGGCACCAUCGUGGUUUUCUCCUGUAGAUUGCAUCCAGGAAGAGUUGGCUCCCAGAAUCUACAGCCUGUCUGGCCUGCAAAGGGAGUCACGGAGCCAGAAGGUUUCUGAAAAGUCCAUCCUCCCUGGGACAGGGUGUGGAUGCGUGGUAGUGCUAGCUCGACUCCAAACUUAGUCAUUUUGUUGCUCUCUAGCCUUCUCUUCCUUUAAACACGCCUGCUUUUAGGUAUCUGUCAUGCAGAACACCACACUGGCAAUUGACCUUUGUGUGACUUCUCUUGUGUUCUCCCAAUCCAAAAGGCAUGAAGUCCACAAGGAAGAAGUUGACUCCAUCUCACAGCUAAGAACUAGGAGGAGCUCAGACAGGGCUUGAAACAGUAAGCUGAUGAGAUAACAUUCAGAUGUGGCUGGCCUUGUUAUUCAGAUAGCCACGGAUAGUUCAUCAGAGUCACCAACUCCUUGUCACAACAUCUGAGGGAAUACCGAGCUACUUUUAUUUUAUGUGCCAGAUAUAUGAAUCAUAUGUAUUGAUUGCAUGGCAAAAAUGAAGGAUAGUGUUCUCACACAUGAAGAGUCACAGGCACGGAAUGUCUGACCAUCCCUUUAUUCCAUAAGGACUAUGAAGGACAUCGCUAACAUUUGUCAGCUUAGAAAACUGACCCUAAACACUAUGGGUCACACAGUACUUUGCUGGCAGACCUACUAUGUACUGCCUAUUGGUCUGUUCUGCCCACAAACUAUAUUACCUCAUUAAAUCAGGCCUCAAGUUCCCACAUCCACUGCAUAUUUUGAAGCUCAAUGCCAUGUUACUGCUCUAUGCUUCACUCAACCAAGCAUACACUUUCUGGUAGCUUUAGUUGUGAAGCAAAGUGAUGGGGUGUCAUCUGUUUCCCUGCUAGCACAAAUGAUGAAUUCGGAGAAAUGUUUCCAGGAGAGGAAAAAUCAUCUCACUGUUGGCUAAGCUGAACAUCAGUAAAUAUAACUAGGUGUCAUUCAAAUAAGACAAUUGAAUACCGAUGACACAGUACUUACUUGACGUUUGCAGACCUGUAUCCUAUGGCUGCACCCCUUCCUCCCCUAACUCUAGGUUCUUUCAUACCCUAUUUGUGUUUCAAAGUUAUUAAAAGUUUAGACUUUAGAGUUCAAUAUGUGUCUGAGUCAUGGAUUCACUGCAUGUCAACCACAUGGCUUUAGCCCAGUUAUUUACAAUCCACGUGCAUCCGUUUCCCAACCUGUGAGAUGAGAUUGCUAAAAGUGGGGAUUUCAAAAUUACUCAAAAUGGUAAAAUAAUUUGUGAAAUUCUGUUAUGGAAAUAUCUAGCAUAGUGGCAAAUGGCCAAUAAGUGCCAGUAACUUAAAGCUGAUAUAACCAUUAAAUGCAAAUAAUAGAGUGACACCUUUGUUUGCCAUCUGGAUAAUUUCUUCCGUGAGAUUAAAUUAUCUAUUUCUCCCUUUGGUGGCUGAGGGUCAACCGUCAUAUCUGAACUGAAGGCUCAGGGGUGAGAUAUAUGGCAUCCCCUGAUGACUGUCUUCCUGAGAUAUUUAUCUACAUCUGUCUUCUUCAUUGGGGCAGAAGCAUCUUUGUCAACCUGUAGUGUUAUAGAUGACACUCUGGGGGUCAUGGCCAUUCACUCAGGUGUCUGAACAAUCUCAUAUGGAAGACAUAGGAAGGCAUGCCUCACAUCACUGCUGCCGUCUGCAUGGUCCUACCCAAGCAUCUUGAAGGUUACAAUUCAAACCUCCUCAAUCUGGAAAUCACAACUUGAUAAGGAACUCUUAAAUUUGGCUUUGUUUAAUAAUGUUUAACUCCACAUGCAAAGCCAGCAAGAUUUUUAUGUCUAUAUGUAUAUGGUAGACAUACACAUGUGUAUACAGAUGUUCACACGUGUGUGAGCACACAUGUGUGGGCAGGUGUGUGGGUGUACACGCAUGCGAAGGCCUGAUGCUAAUAGCAGGAAUCUUCUCCAAUCUCUCUCCGUCUUAUUCAUCCGAGGCAGUUUCUCUCAACUGAACCCAAAGCUUGAUGCCGUCUUGUCUAGCAAGCUAGCUAGCUCCUUAUAUCUAACUUUAUAACUCAGGAAUAUCAGACUGGCUACCAUGCUCACCUAAUAUUUGCAUAGGUUCUGAAGUUCCAAACUCAGUCUUCAUGCUUGUGAGAGUACUGACCCAUCUCCAUGGCUCCAUCACCCACCCGGAAGAAAAUCAUUCAAGAUUUCAUGUUAAACAGGGGCUGGAAAAUUUAUGGUAAGAUAUUCUAUUAGUUAUAGCUAUUUGAAAGAACAACACACAGUAUACCGGGUGCCAGUACCAAAUUUUAAUGACCAACAUCAGCUGGCACUGCCAGAACAUUUUUGGGCAAUUCUCAGAAUUCUAUGUAGAACAUCCUGGGGAUGAGUCAUUGGCUAUGAAGGUUCUGUCUUUGCAGUGAUUUACAAAAAAAAAAAAAAAAAAAAAGAUUAAUUUGUGUCUGAGAAUCUCUGUAUCUAUAAAAUUAUGCAGUUCCUCAGAAUGGAGACACAGUCUUAUGCUCAAUUAAGAGUCAGGCAAGGAUAGGAUACUUGACUCCAUCAUGGCCUAAUGGCUGCUUGUGCAAUUAUCACUGGAUGUAUUAACUCAUCAGCACCGGGAUAAUGUCACACAUCAAAACAGUGCUGGCACUUCUGGUGAGCCUUGCCUCCUCUUUGUCUGAGUUUUGAAUGUACCAGAAGAGGCACAAUCCACAGUUACAAACAGCAAGGGGUUCAACUUUCAAGCUCAAUUUUCCAACUACUCCCUUUGCAGACUUCUGCAUCAGUCUAAUUGAAGAAUUAUCCCGAGAUUGCCAGAUGAGCUAUGAGGCUGGUAUCAUUUGCAACUACUUUUUCCACAUGAAUCUGAGCCUUCCCAGUGUUCCGCAAGCAAAAGGAAAUGGAAGAAUAAAUUACACUCCAGGUCUCCUAGCAGCCUUGAUUUCAGAAGUUUUAUCAUGUUUAUCAAAACAAUCUCAUAGUUCUCGGCGAGUCUUUUUAUUACAAACAGAAAUAAAUGUUUUACAUUGAGACCUAUGAUUAAAUGUACACUAUUAAACCAUCACAUUCAUCCGUUUUAUGUAUUGGGGUCCCAUGUGAGGUGUUAUUCAAGGAAGGCAGACAUUUCAGUUCAGGCUUUGAAAGCCAGUUUUAAGACCAGCCUUUCAAACACAAUCAAGUCUCUUCCUUGGCGGUUUCUUAUUCAUCUGUCUUGUGGUAUCACUGGCUACUUCCCAUAUGCUUGGCACUGUCCCAGAGUCUUGGGACAAGUGAGCAAAUAAGUCAAAGUCCUUGUUUUCACAGGAUUUACAUCCCUUGGGAAGACAGACAGCAGAUUAACAGAUUAGACCAUUGUGGGAGAUCAUUGGGUAGGGGAGAACCACAUCUCUGUUUAUAUGGCAAAGGAUCUACACACCUGAGAAUCCCUUUGUUUCUCACUAUUGAGCCCCUGUGGACUGCUCUGCCUUCCAGAUAACUCCACAAAUGGGCAGCUCAUUUUUAACGGCUUCACACAUCUUUUUUCCACCAAAUCUAAAUCUGUUGCUCUAAAAUCCUACUCCUUCACACUGGCAUUACUCUGCGAUCUUUCCCUUCUAGUCUGAUUCAUCUUCUAUGCAUACUUUUGCUUUCAGUCCCUUGGUUUCUUUCUGUCUCUGUCCAGCCCUUUCUCUAUCUGCAGCUCCCUGUCUAUGCAUAUUUAUGCAUGCGUGCCCCUAGUACCUGAAGCAAUAGCUUACCAAGACUUGAACUCAUAUUCUAGAUCUUUAGAGCGUUGAUCUAUUUCUUUCAAAGCAGGAUGAUGGGUUUCUGGCUUACAAGGUGGUUAAUCUUGAGGUCAACUUGAUUGGAGUGAGAAGACUAAUAAAUCACAUUUCUUGAUGUGUCUGUGAGUGUGUACCCUGAGAAGAUUGACCAGGGAUGUGAGGAGUCAUUCUGAAUAUGGGCAUCAGUACCCAAUAGGUGCACGAUGUGGGGGGAUAAUAGAAUACGAGGGGAACAAAAUCAAGAUCAGAGAGUACAGUUCCCCACUGCCCCCUCUCUACUUCCUAGCAAUCAUUAUGAUGUAAGCUGCUCUGUUAUGACCUCCAUGCAUGUUAGACCAAAACCUUUCUUCUUUUCAACUUAUUGAUGUCCAGCAUUGUGUCACAGCAACAUAAACUCUAAAACACUGGCUUCGAAGCUGUAGUUCUAAUAGGUGUCAAGGUCCUGUUUUUGAUUUCCCACCCUGACAGCCACCUCAAAUAUGACAAUGUAGCUAUAUCAUGGCCUUCCUGAAACAGUAUAUUAACAGUAAGGAUGUUUCAGAAUAAACUCCAGACAUCUCAACUACAUCCUAGAGAGUCAUCAAGAGCCGAAACACCCAUUUCUCCUGUACCCAUAAUCUUUAUUCUGGCCAAGCAGCCAUUUUCUGAGCACAGUGAGCUAUAUAUUCUUCUUCCACAUCUGAGUGCAUUAGAAAUUCAUCUACCUGACAUGUUAUUGCCCCAUCUGAGGUUUGCUUCAAAUAGCAACAACCCUAGAAAGCUGUUUUGCUAAUUCCUGUUCUGAGUAUCCCACACACACCUGCCAGGCUGCCUAAAUACCUUGUAUGUAGUCUGUCCAGCUUUUACUGCCCUGUAUCUUGAUAGAUACUUAUUCUCCUCCCAUGUGAAGACAGCUGGGCCACAUUUGCUCCAUUUGUAGUGUCCAUCCCAGAACUUAGUUUGGAACAAGGGUCGAGACAAUAGUUAGGAAACACAUGCUGAAAACAUUGUCAGGAGUUUCAGCCUGAUUUCAGCAGAUCUUGAAGGUCAAGAAAGCAAAAAUUGCACACCCAUCAAGGUAUGGUAACUCAUCAAGGUAACCCAUGAGUAUGGGGAGUAGACACAUAUCCCUAGGGUUGGAAGAAUAAGGCAGAAGGCAUCUCAGGAGGUGUUCAGUGACUUGUCCCAUUGCUGCAGCAUCUCAGUACAGACAUGAGGCUGGCUCCAGAGUGAUGAAGGAACCGGAAGCCAGUACCAGCUGAUGCUCUUGGGUUGUGUCUUAAGUUGGGGUUUCGAUUGCUAUGAUAAAACACCAUGACCAAAAGCAAUGUACAGAGAGGAAAAAUAUCUACUUCAUCUCAUGCUUCUAGGUAACAGUCCAUUACUGAGGGAAGUCAGACCAGGAGGUCAAGUAGAGCAGGAACCUGGAGGCAGGGAACUGAAGUAGAAGCCAUGGAGCAAUGCUGCUCAUUGACUUGACCUUCAUAUCAUGCUCAGUCUGCUUUCUUAUAGCACCUAGGACCGGGGGUGACACUGGUCACCGUAAGCUGGACCCACGCACAAGCCAAUCAGGUGAGGUAUUUUCUCUGUUGAGGUCUCCUCUUCCAAAAUAACUCUAGCUUAUGUCAAGCUGGCAUAAAUCUAGUUAGAAUAGAUGGUACCUGUCACUACCUACUACGGCAGUAAAAUGGAAGAUCACAAACCUGGUGGGUGCUAGACCUGUAUCCCACCCUCCAAUCUUUCCCUUACUUUACUUAUUUUCAGAGCCUACAUGCAAGCGAGCUAAAGUAACUAAAUUGCUGUGGUCUAUCCAAGAUGAAGGGACUUCAUAAAUCCUGGGGCUUUGGGAUUGAGAGGCCUUUAGUAAAGUGACCACAAGAAUGUUUUUUCCAGUGGUGUAGCCUGGAUUAACUCAUACAUUGCCUUUGGUGAUUUGGGCGUGCUAGGAACUUUGGGACUUCGAGUGUUGGAAUGUGAUGGCCUGCAUGUCACUUAGAGCCUUGAGUUUACUUCUACCCAGUGUCCUAGGGGUUCUAUUGCUGUGAAAAAAACAUUGUGAUCAUUUCAUUGGGACUGGCUUACAGGUUCAGAGGUUUAGUCCAUUAUCAUCAUGGCAGGAAGCAUGGCAGCACACAGCCAGACGUAGUACUGGAGGUGGAACCGAGCAUUCUACAUCUGAAUCAUCAGGAAGAGAGUAUGACACUGGGUCUGGCUGAAGCCUCUGAUACCUUGAAGCCCACCCUUCAGUGACACACUUCCUCCAACAAUACACAUCUACUCCAACAAGGCCAUAUCUCCUAAUAGUGCCACUCACUAUGAGCCUAGGGAGGCUACUUUCAUUCAAACCACCAUGUUCAGUGUUCCUAGGGGCCCAGUUAUCACAUUUCCAUUGAUGGCUGUCUUCAUAUCCAUUACCUCAGUUGCCUCUGGAGAAUUUAUUCUGCUGACGCUUUCCUUAGACUUCUUUCAGUGUUUCCCAGAAUCUGAAGAAUAAGCAGCACCCUAAUCCCAGAGGUUCCUAUGAGCAGCACGUAGCUAAAUGGCCUUCCUAAAAGCAAUCCUUUUAAGCAUGUGCACUGUCAAACAGUUCUGGCUGUUUAAAGUGUGGUUUGUAAAACGGCCUUGAUAUUGCCUGGGAACUUGUUAGAAAUGUGGACUCCAUGUGCCCCCAUCCCAGAUGAGUGCAACUAGACCGCAAAGAUCCCCAGUUGUGCUGUAUGCACAAUCGAAUGUGCGAAACCUUCAUCUGGAGCAGAAGUUUUCAGCUCGGGCUACUUCGGGGAGUGACUUGGCAAAGCCAAGAAGACAUUCUGAUGCUUGGGGGACCUCAGAGAGUCUAUCACCUGAUUGGGUCAAGGAAGACAUUGGUGACUUUAAAGCUCCCCAGGCAGUUUUAAUAGGGAUGCAGAAUGGCGGACCACUGAUCCAGAGCCUGUAUGAGAUCAUAAAGCGACAUGCUGUUAGCUCUCCAAUUAUCUCACUAUCGCUGUGUACAAAAGUACAUGAAGGAAAUAACUCAGGCUCGAGAGCCCAGCUCGGCAGUGAUUUAAUGAUAUCUCUAAGACUGCAGCUAAGAUUGCUGGACUCCUAAUUCAAAUCCUAUCACUUAGCUACCACUGUGUCAUUACUGACAUUGGUAGUUAUUUAUACAAAGAUGCUCUCAGGCAUCUUUGUAUAUCACAAGAUAUUUAACUGCAUCUUGAGAAUUUUGUUGAGUAGGCAGGAGAAUGAGGCAGGGAUUAGCUGUGUGGAUGGAGACAGGAACUCAGUCAAGUAUCCACUCAAGCAGGACUCAUAUUGAAGAACAAUAGAGGAGGCUUGAGAAUUUUUCUUUCUUUCUUCUCUUUGCUUUCUUAGGAUACACUAUCUACUUUUAAUCAUUUCAACUUAAUUGAGGUUAAUUCAGCACUCAUGUAUAUGUGUGCUAAUCCCCAUGAAGCUACAGAGAAAAGUCUUGAUCCUGAACAAAUUUCUACUCUAGUUCGAAGAAAACAAAUACAAAAUUAGGAGAGCUCACGGUUCCUACUUCAAGUGUGUGUGUGUGUGUGUGUGUGUGUGUGUGUGUGUGUGUGUGUGUGUGUUGCUGAAAUGGAGCUCAGGACCUAUAUAUAUUAAGUAUUUUUUUUCUUUUUUUCGGAGCUGGGGACCGAACCCAGGGCCUUGCGCUUGCUAAGCAAGUGCUUUACCACUGAGCUAAAUCCCCAACCCCAAGUAUUUUUUUGUCACUGAGUUAUUUCCUUAGCCAAUAUAUAUAAAAUUUCUAUGUAGCCCAGGCUAUCCUCAAAACUCAUAGUUCUCCUGAUUUAACUUCCCAAGUUCUGGAAAUGGCAGGUGUUUACUAUCAAGUCCUUGAUUCAGGCAAAUUUCACUAGAGACAAACAUGCAGAUUCUUCUGGGACUUAAAGCAAAGCAUGCCCCAUUCAAGCAGGCGACCGUGAUUCUUAUGGAGGCUUGAGAAAGGUUGAACGUUUGUAUGAACUGAUGGUGAGUAAAGACAGCAAGGAGAACAAAUUUGCUUGGGCGAUAUUGGUUAGAUAGAUAAAAUGAGGCAGGAUGGGUAGGUGAGGGGCCAUAUUCUAGAGGAGCCAGAAGUUCAAAACUAGCUACUUCGAGCAGUGUGUCACUGAGGAAUUCUGAGCGAAUUGAGUCCCCCUGGAAGGUGGACUAUGGAGCACAGGGCAAAAUUACAGGCAGUCACUAGACCACGAUUCAGAUGGCAUUGGGGGGAGAGGAAAGGAGGACGGAAUAUGAGACACUUGAAUCUAGGCCUUAAUUAGCACAUUUAGGAGAACAUUUGUGGGGUAAGUAGACAUUGUGUUUACAUUGCUUAAUUGAAAGUACAUUUCCCUGGAGCUAAAUUACAGUGAACACUAUUAAAUCACAAUUAAGGGCUAUCUGGGUAUCUGUAUCAUUGUAGAUUUUGUGGGCAUCAGAAUGGCCUCCAUUUAGGGGACAGUGGCAGAAGUGCUUUUAGAAUUUCUGCAAGACUACUGAUUCUGAAGCAAGAAUCAGAAUCCUCAUCCCUACCUCUGCCUCCCUCCCUGGUGGCAAGUCAGAGGCCAUCGCAACAGCUCUGGUUGAAACCUUGAGCUUUCACAGCCCCAAGGGCAGAUGAAACUUAUUUGACUGAGGUCUUAAUGAUACAUGCUGGGGAGGGGCCCAGAAGGUCAGAAAAAUCCACACUACACUAAAUCCCAUUGACCUUUCAGCCCAGGAAAUAAGUAUAGGGAAUGAACAAGAGUCGAUGCAACCCGCUAUAACGUAUUGAUCCUCUGUUAGCAUUUAUUGUAGACUAAUGUUCUAGCCACCGGCUGCAGAGCACAAAUAAUGAAAAAAGACACCAAUGGAUGGAUUCCAAUUUAAACCCCAUCUCUUUCACUUUGUGACCUUGAGAAGCCUGCUUAACUUCUCGGUGCCUUAAUGUGCUAAUCUAUAAAAUGGAUUCAUUCAUAGUGCCUACCUGUUAAAGCAGUAUGAUAAAUAAGUGUGUAUAUGAUGUUAAUUAUGUGUGUUAUAUUUCCAAGUAAUAGAAGCAAAUAAUUUACGUGUAAUUACUAGUCAUGAAGAUUAAACAUCAUUACAUAAUGAAUAUUAGUAUUUUAAAUGUUAAUUGCAUUAAUAAUAAUGGGAUAUAUUAUAUGUGGUAAUUAAUAUACAUAAUUAUGUCUCAUUUCAUAUUUUUAUUUUAUAUGGUGCUGUGCCCUGCAUGUCUAUACAUCAUACACUGUGUUCUGAGAAGCCUGAAGAGGGCAUUAGAUGCCCAGGACUGCAGCUAGAGAAGGUUGUGACCUGAUUUGUGUUGCUGUAAACCAGGUCCUCUGGAAGAGCAGUGUUUAUGCUAACUAAGCCAUCUCUCUAACCCUAUCUUUUAUUGUUUAAAAAUAAAUUUUACUUUGAUUUUUUUUCUGUCAUCAGUGUGACCUGCUUUAAUCUGCAAGGCAAACAUAUGAACUGGCAUGGACCAUAUUUGGUCCUGAACUGCAAUAUCUGAAACCUAUUUUGAAUUUUGCAUCAUAAUAAUUUUUAAUUCUAAUUCCAAACCUAAAAUCAUAAAAUCGAAGCAAUUUUUAAAAUCUUUCAAGAAACUUUUCAAGAAAAGAAAAAGAUUUUUUUAAAUAUCUGUCUUUUGCAUUUAAAAAUAUUUUUAUGUUAGCACAGAAAACAGUAGGUCUCAUCCAGACAUCUUCAUACACUGAGAAGUACUACAUACUAUGUAAUACAUGCCUAUAAUAUGCACUAUAUAUAGCACAUAUAUUCAUAAAUGCUCCUGUCUCUCACACAGCAACUAGAAAAACUGAGCAUUCAAUGAAAAGACAAUGUUGGAAGUAUUUUGGGGAGGGUUGGCGAGUUUUUAAUAGUACCAUGGAAGUCAAGACAUCAGAUUAUCAUAAUGAUGAAAUGACUCCUAAUGUCCUGCCGUAACCCAUAGAUCAGACUAUGGCGCAACCCUCAUCAGAGAAACUUCUCACCAUAGAUGGGAGUUAACACAGAGACCCACAACUAGACAACAUGCAGAGGAGAUGUUUAGAAGCACCCAGGCCUAAAAGAGAGGCCUUUUCAGACCCCUCCCCCCAAGGCUCAGGGAUCUCCAUGGAAGAGGAUGCAAACAGAUUGUAACAGCCAGGAAUUGGGAUGGCUCCAAGGAAACAGUGCCAUCCAGACCCAACAGGAUGGACGCACAUACGAAUCCAUAGGCACUGUGACAGCACACAGACCUACACAGGUUCAAACCAGACACAAUCCCAGCACAGAGCUGGUGGUGUGAACACAAAGUCCCGCUCCUAACAGGAAGACCUUUGUGAAUAGCAACUGCUUGGUGAAGAAAAAUAUCAUUGUUCUCCAAAGGAGUGCCACUUGAGUAUUCCAACCAUACUUCAGGACAGGACCCAUGCCCCGGAGCAGUUGGCUAACACAAAACAGACUCCGUCUUUUAAAUUUUGUAUCUUUUUAAUAUCUUUGUCUUAAAUUUUCACUUACUUGUUUUUGAUUUUGAGUUUUCGUCUUGGGGGAUUUUUGUUUUGUGGGGGGGAGAAUGUGGAGCUGGGUGAGCAGUAAGAGGAUUUGUGGGGAAAGAAUAUGGCCAAAAAUGUCAUAUAAAAUGUAAUUAAAAUACUAACUAGGUUUUUUAAACUAGCUGAGUAAAAGUUGUCCAUUUUGAAAUUUCUGAGACGAGGGCUUGAAAGCCACCGCAGAUGUUUGAAACUGUCUUUGUGGGCUGGGGAUAUGGCUGAGUGGCAGACAAUCUGGCUAACACAAACAAGGGCCUACCUGUACCUCUCAGUACUGGUCAUCGAGGGAGGUAUGUGUGCUGUCUUCUGAUAGUUACUGGCCUUCUUUUAACCAUUAUCGGAGAAGGAUUCUGAGUCCCAGCAAGGACAGAUAAGUGUUGGUUGGAUUGGUUCCAAGCUAUUUGUGUUAAUUUGGCUCCCGAAAUCACACAAGAAUUCGCAUGUCUGUAUGUGAGAUGCUGAUGGUCCCUGCCCCCAGCUGAUUCUAAUUGGUAAAUAAAGUUACUGACAGCCAAUGGCUGGGCAGGGAUGCAGAAGUAGUACGUUAGAGUUUCCAGGCAAGAGAGCACUGGAAGAAGGGGGUUUUAGAAUUGCCAUUCCAAGGAAGCAAGAGAAUCAAACUCAAGAGCCACAGGAAAGAAAGCAUCCGGCCACAUAAGAGUCAGGGAACAGCGGUCCCAGAGGCCCAUCCCAGAAUGGGCCUGGGGUGGCAAAGGUGGAAUAUAAAUUUUAGAAAGUAAUAGCUCAGGAAUAUUGGAGGGGAAACUGUGUUAAUGGCAGAGAGAUUUGGAAGUGGUCAGCCAUUGCGCUGUUUAAGGCAUAUUAAAUAUAAGAUUGCAUGUAAGUGGCUUCCAUUCAUCAAUCCAGAGCACUGGGCAGUAGGAAGAAGCCACAGGCAGGAGUUCAGAGCAGUUUAACAAACUACCACUUCAGAUAAGUCUACACUGACGCAUGAGGAAUGCCAGGUGAGAAGGGACAGGGGAGUGUGGAAAGCCACCUGAGGGUCAGCAGGAAAGGCCCCUUCAGCUAUCAACGUUAGGACUUUAAGAGCAGCUUCUAGGCAAAUGGGGCAAAGAGAAAUACAUACCAGGAAGCAACCACCAGAACUGGCAAUGCGCUCACAAUAGCUGAGACUCACAAUAGGUUCGUCCAGAAGUAGAGGAAUCUUCCUGGGAUAUAAUUGGAAGAAAACAUUGAGCACUUACUCUGCACCUCUUUCAGUCAUAAGAGCAUCCUGGGCCUCAACUCCCUUCAACCAACCAUGUAACUUUCCUGAGGUUACAUGGACAGCGCAUGUCCGUAUGGGAGUCGAACACAAGCAGUCUGGCUCCGUUAUGUUAUACUGACUCUGAGAGAAGACUGCAAAGAUGCAGAAGCCUGAAUUAUAACUGGAAGAUGAGGAAGCUUGUGAGAACACGGGUCAACUACAGGUCAUCUCUGUCUUGGCAAUUAUAUAUCCGCUGUGCAUGGUGCGCGCCAGAUGCCGGCACCUCAGUAACUCUGUGUCGAACGUAGGACUUGACUCCUCUAGAGCUUUGUGGAAAGGCUGUCCAACAGCACCCUGCCUGGUCAACACUGUAGAGAACACUGCCUGGGCACAGCAUGGGUCUCAGAAACUUCUUAGAUCACAGGAAGAUGCUAGCACAGUCCUGCCAAUAGCAGUGACUGGAGCAUUCUCCUGGGCUAGGAUUCACUUGCUGUAGUGAGAAGAAUAGAAAGAGUGUCACUUUACAUCUGUCUAAAACAGCAUUAAAAUGCACCAUUGGGUACCUGAUGCUCUGGAACAAUAGCAGGUUAAAGGCUUGGGAUACUCACUCCCCGUUCAUGCUCCUGUGCUAAAUCCGGCUGUAGGUGCUAUAUCACUAUGGGAGACUCUUCGCUUCUUCCAGAGUGUCAUUUCCCACACAGCUAGUGGUCAAUACUGUGACUGGUCUGUCAUCUGUCUUCCUUCAUAUAAGACAGAUUUUUCCAGAACAAAACUCACUAAAUACCAAUGGCCUGGGCUCCAUUUAAUGGGGUUCUAAAGAUGUGCGGUAAAAUAGGGCUGGAGAGAUGGCUCAGUGACUAAGAGCCCUGCAUGCCCUUUCAGAGGACAAUAGUUUAAUUCCCAGUACUCACUUGUCUCACAAGAGUCUGCAAAUCCAAUUCCAGGGGCAUUCCAUUCUGGCCUCCAGAGCACUGCAUAUGUGUGGUACACAGGCUUACCUUCAGCCAAACAAAUACAUAAGAGAAAUUAAACUAAAAUCUCAACAACAACAAAAUUAAAUAUCUCCAGUAAAACCAGACUCAUGCAAAAAGGAACCUUUCCUGUUCUGUUCUAAUCAGAACAGAGGGCUUUAAUGGAAGAGGGCGGUGACAGGGUCUGAGGAGGACUGUGGGUGUAGAAAUGGAUAAGGCAGUCUUGCACUAUGUUCUCACAGGGCUUCCACCAUAAGGCUACAGGGUGUGGUGUGACCGAAGACCAUGUCAAUUCAGUAAGAAUGACACAGGCUUAUACAGGAAUGGCAAGCUGGUCAAACUUUCUAAAGUAGCCCAGAUGAGGUAGUUAUUGUAAUCUCCAUAACCCUGGGAAGCCCUGAUGGUGUCUUUAUCUUGUAGGGUAGUGGUUCUCAACCUUCCUAAUGCUGUGACCCUUUAAUACAGUUCUUCGUGUUGGGUGAACCCCCAAACAUAAAAUUAUUUUUGUUGCUACUUUAUAGCUGUAAUUUUGCUAUUGUUAUGAAUUGGAAUGCAAGCAUUUUUAGAGAUAGAAAGGUCACGAUCUACAGGUUACGAACCAUGAAGACCUGGAAAAGGUGAAGACUUGGUAUUGUCUGAACCUCGUCCGCUUUCAACAUGCUGCUGCUCUCAGAAACCACAGCCAUAACAUGACGGCACACAUGUGGUUCUGGCAGCUGACAUCCGUGCCUUAUUCACACACAUGGCUUGUUCACACAUGUACACACACACACACACACACACACACACACACACACUCACUCACUCACUCACACACUCACACACUCACACACCUGCACUGAAAUAACAUAUAUUGUGGCUGCAGAUUACAGAGGACCACAGGUAAUACAUCUUGGUCUUUUAUCUCUGUUUUCUCUUCCCUUUUGGUGCUCAUGAGAUUUUUUUUAAUUAGCAAAAUUGUCAAUUCAACAAAUACAUCUUCUGCAAAGCCAUUGUGUCAUUUGAUGUAGUGGUAAACCAAGCUCUUGUAUUCAUUGCUCUCAGGAAUUGAGGUCUUUUGAAGGUAACAAUGACAAUUUCCCAUCCCAAAAAUAAACCCCUCACUUUCAACUAAAGAAUAUGAAACAUUCUUUUAUUUUUAAUUCUUUAUUUGUUUUGUCUAGUUGGAUUUUUGUUUUUUGCUAGAGUAAUCCUAUAGAAAAGAACCACAAUAUUGAUGGAGAGUCCAGGGAUAGAAAAAAUCAGGGUUCUGAGCCGGGUUCUUUUUGUAAAUGCCAGCAACAGUUCUUUUUUGGUACCUUAGAGGGGAGACAGAUAGGCUCACUGAUCUCUGAACCAUGACUUCCAGUGCAGCAUCCCAUCCUAAUAUGUGUGACUUUCAUGUGUGUGCCUAACCAUCCAAUUCCACUUUAAAUCUCAUUAUUUCUGUUUCACUCUGUAUUUCUAUAGUCUAGCCACAUUGUCACAUGUAUUCCUUGUUAAUUUCUUCCAAGUACUGUACUAUGUGCCACCACGUCCUGUUACCUUACCUUACUCAGCCAUACACCCACAACAGACAUCUGCAUGACUUCUAACUCCUAUUAUAACAAUCCAACAUCAAAAACAAACAAACAGAAAACAAAUCUCCUACAUGACGCUCAAUGGAUAUAUAUAUAUAUUAUAAUAUCUGUAGUAUAUAUUUCAGAAUUUACACAUUGGAAUAUAUUUUUCUUGGAUGUGUGUGUGUGUGUGUGUGUGUGUGUGUGUGUGUGUGUGUGUGUGUCACAGACAUAGAGUCCUGUGACAAAAUGUAUUUUACUGGAUAUAAACAUCGAACUUUAUUUUGAAAUUUGUGUUUACAUGUGUGUACACACAUGUGCAUGAACAUUCAUGUGGAAACCAGAGUGAACCUCAACUAUUAUUACUCAGGAGGCAUCCACCUUAGUUUUGGAGACAGAGUGUCUCAGUGACCUGAGGACUGCAAGCAGUCUGGCUGACUGCUCAGCCCCAAGAAUCCACUUGUCUCUGCCUCCCUAGCACUGAGAUUACAAACACAUACCACUACAGCCAAUUUUUUAAACAUGUAUUCUAGAGACUGAACACAGGUCCUACGAUUUUACAAGCAUUUUCUCAACUAAAGAGUCUCUCCAUCCCUUACAGCUUUGUGUACUUAUGGUGAAUAGACAUUCCCUUAUGCCUUUAAAGUAGUGACACUUGGUUGGUAAUCAAGGUCUAGGGCUUUGAGGAAAUCUGGAAAUAAAGGGCAAUUAGUCAAAACUGACCUCAAACUCAUGACAAUCCCAGAUUGGUCUCAGACCCAUAAAGCUCAAACUGGUCUUAAAUUUAUCAUGUAGCUCAGGUUUACCUCAAACUCAGUACAUAGCCAGUCCAUCUGAUAACUUGCCAUGUAGAUCAGACUUCAAAGGUAUCUUUCCUCCUGCUUCUGACUCCCAAUGCUGAGAUUAUAAGUAUGGACCAUCAUACAAUAUGACAGCAUUCGAUCUUAUUUUUUUCUCCCUCCCCUUGCUUGUGGAGCUCUCCAGUGUGCUAAUCUGCAGCUGUCUAGAUGCUUAGUUCUCAACCUUCCUAAUGCUGUGACCUUUUAAUACAGCUCCUCGUAUUGUGACCCUCAACCAUAAAAUUAAUCUUGUUGCUACUUCAUAAUCAUAAUGCAAAUAUCUAUGUUUUCCAAGGUCUUAGGCAACACCAUGAGAGAGUUAUUUGACACCCCCUCCAAGGGGUUGAAACCCUCACGUUGAGAACCACACUGGUCUAGAGACUGCAUUGCCUUAAGCUUUCUGGUCUACCAGGACCUCAGAUUCCUGUUCAGUGUCACAGUGACUUGAGCCAUGGCUAUAUGCAUAUUCAGUCUUUUCAGGCUUGCAGCAACCUCUGGAUUAUCUUCAGUGAUCUGAGAAGUGGAGAAUUGUGAAGCCUCUAUCUUCCCCAACUCACAAAACCAGCUUGCUUUUUAUUCUGAUUGCUUCACUAUUUAGGCUAAAACUCUCAGGUAUUAUUUCUGUCUGUACAAAGAAUAAAGGAACCAAACUCUUAACUGGCUAGUGGCUCCUUGUUUUUUACUUUUUUCUUUUUUAAGAACUAGAAAUAGAAAUCUGUAAAGAACUUGAGAUGAUGGUAAAGAAACCACCACAAUUAUUCCUUUUCUGCUAAUAACAAUGCACCCAAAUCUUUGUCUCUCUUGACUCCCAUCUCCCACCACAGUACUUUGUUAACAUGAAAAGAGACGGCAAAAAGUGGAGAGUGAUUUCUUUCAUUCUCUGGGCUGUGGGGGUUAAAGUGUGGAGGCUGGGUGUAUACUAGUAGGUGCAUUUGCCCUUGAAGGUAGUGGAGAUCAGAGGUUGGCAUUAGGCUGUCUCUCCUAAGUUGCUCCAUCACUUAAUUUUAUGAGACAGGGUCUUUGGGUUCCUGUUUUAGUUAGACAACCUGCAGAUGCUAACUAGAGCCCUGUGAAUACUCUUAUCUCGACCCUGAAGUGCCCAGUUUACAUGAACUCUAGAGAUCUGAACUCAAGUUCUCUUGCUUGCACAGCAAGAACUACUUGACCCACUGAGCCAUCUCCUGAGCCCUUGGAAAAGUUCAAAUAAAAAUUUUUUAAAAGAGGUUAGAGAUGGAAGUAUAGUACAGCAUACAACUUCUUCAGAGGAAAAAGUCUCCAAGAGAACAAAACAAGGAGCCUUGUUUUCCCAGUCUCCCAUCUCCUUCCCUGUGCGAGCUCCUUUCUGGGCCUUUUCUGUCUCCUAGAGGAAAAUCCUGACAGUGUGGCAUGCACUUGUGAAAGGAUAAUUACAUCUGCAUCCCUAGGAGAGACAGGCUGACUGUCAGCAGGGAGGAGUCUGAUGUGGAUGCAAAUAGGGCCGAGUGCUCACAUAUGCAUAAAUACCCACCACUCUGCUGAACUGCAUCAGGGAGGAGAAGUUUCUUUGACCUGAACUUUCCUGGAACUCAUUUUCACUUCAGGUCAGAGAAAAAUUUAAAUAUAUGUAUUUAUGUACACAUUACACAUUCUGUAUUAUGCAUAUAUAUUUGAAGGUUUAUUUGUGCACACAUACAUAUGUAUGUGUGUGUAUGUGUGUGUCUCUCUCUCUCUUUGUCUCUUUCUCUCUUUCUCUCUCUCUCUCUCUCUCUCUCUCUCUCUCUCUCUCUCUCUCUCACACACACACACACACACACACACACACACACAUGCACUCUGUUAUCAGACUUUUCAGUGAUGUUCUUGUCCAGAGAAAAAGAAAUAACUGGCAUCCUUUUAAGGGAAAUGUGUGUGCCUUCAGAGCUGGCCAAGCUCAGAAUUACGACUCAACUAAGCCUAUGACCUGGUGGAUAUUAGGCAUCAUCCGUAGAGUUUGAGAAGGUAUUCGAAUCUAUAUGAGAGCCAAAUGGCCAUCCAGCCAUGACCUCACAGUAUCUUUAGCUGAUGUCCCCCCAUGAUGUAGUGGGCAAUGAAGGAGUCUUCAAAACUUCACCUUAUAGAAGAAGAGAACUAUAACGCAACUUGUUCAAAUUAGAGUGUAUGAUUUUUAUUUCCUUAAAAAGAACAACAAAAUUCCUAAAGAUUUCCCUUUGAAAUUUAAAUGUAUGUUAUCACUCUAUCACGCCCAUGCUAUAAGAAAAUAUGGUGGUAGGAGAUGCUUAGCUGUUAUAGAGGAUGAGUGUACAGAAUUGAUUUCAGGCCCAAUCAGGACUCAUCUCAUCAAUGCACUUAUGUCAAGAGCAGACAAAGCUUCCCUGUUAUUCUAACAAGCCCAAAACAGAGGGCCACCCUGCUUCUCUUCCCUCAGAGUAAAUCUCAAGGGAACUAAUUAGAAAUUAGCAAUGUCUUACAGAAAACCCCGGUUUAGUUCCAAGUUGACAAAUGUCAGGUGACCCAAACCCCUGAAUCUCUAGUUCCAAAGGUUUUAGCAUUCUCUUCUGGCCCCUGAGGGUACAUGCACAUACACAUGUGCAUACACAUAGUGUUCAUAGACUCAUCCAGACACACAUUUGAAAAAGCCCCGUGGGAAGAUUCUAAGUACAAGUUUUUCAACUCAGUGCCUCGCCUUGCACCCAACAGUACAUCCAAGGAUGAGCUGCUCUGCAAUGGCUCUAAGCCAAGGAAAGAUUGGAAGGCAGAUUCCAGAUUAAUCUAAGCAAGAUCUUUUAAGAAAGUGAGAUGGGACUUUAAAAAAUAAAAACCUCAUAGAUUUGCCUGUCAAUACUAACGUGCUAAGUAAGGUCUCUUGCUGAGUAUAGACAAGUGGCAUGACCAUCCCUCAGUGGUCCUAGAGUACAGGUUUCUACUCUAGAUUGAAUAUUGGAUACCAUAUGAUAUCUUCUAAAAUAACAAUUUUCGUGUAGAUUAAAUGUCUGAUGAGUAGGGCUAGAGGCCUGGCUUCAGACAGUUUUAACCUGAUGCCCUUCCUUGCACCAACAGACGACAUGGCCACUACCUUUAAGUCUGGAAGUUAAUCAAGUCCCCGCAAGCUGAAUUCCAUUGACCAGGUAGGUCUCUUCCUCAAGGAAGGCUCUUCUCUGCAAAGCCGAGGUGUGAGGUCACAGACAGAAUUAAACCAUCCAUGGAGACUGCACCAUGGGUUUUACAUAACCCACCUGCAUGCCCCAGGCGCUCACAGUGUAGAAGGGGGAAUAUCCGUGUCCUCCGUACCUACUGUAUUUCUAUAGUCCCAGGUCUCAGACAGACAGUUCCUACCCUAGGUCUGUUUGUCCAUGACAUUGGUUCUUUGAAGCUAAUGAUUAAUUUCUAAGCCCCUUGCAGCUCUAUUUUAUAAAAAUAACACCUAAGCUUAUUCUCCUUGUCUGUCUUCCAAACCUCUGUUGUCUACCUUCUAUUGGCCUGCUCUAAGAGAGUAGACCAUAAACCCAUCACAAGUGGAACAAAAGGGACAUACACUUCCCUGAGACAUGUGAAUGAGACACUCUAGUGUCUCUCCCCCUUUCCUCAGAUUUAUGGCAUCUUAUGCCAUUAUCUUCAUGUCCCCUUCUAGGUCAUCCCAACAUUUCCAUCAGGAGAGAAGGAAGUAUUGAGGAUGCAAGGCAACCUUUACUAUCUAGCCCUGUUUAUUCUUUUGUGUAAUAACCUUACUCCAUCCUUACGUGUUUUGCUUCUAUUACAGUACCUACCAGUGAGCCCUAAAGUGUUUUCAGAAGCCCUUUUCAUAUCAUAACACCAGUGAUAUCAUGGGAGUCACCAUAGUCUCUAGGUGCCGUAAAAGUCAUAGUCUCGAGGGCAUAUAAAAGGUGUGUAGUUUUUUGUAGGUGAAAAGGAACAGAUAAAGAUUGAAUAUAAUUUUAUAAAAAGAAGCCUUCAAUAGUUGCCAUCUUGUGAUCCUUCCUUAAUAAAUAAGGGCACUUGGGAAGCAACAGGGCCUAGUCCCAUGGGGCUAAAGUGAAUCUUAAUAAUACACUCACUCAUUGUCUCCUCGUGCUGUGCUUUUUAUUCAAGGAUCCAUGUUAGCCUCUCUUGAUAGCUUCCUUUUAGACAAAACGAACCACAGACAAUAAUGUCUGAGAAUCUUCUGUGAGUUUCUCAAAGCUGUUUACCCAAGCAAUUUCUAACACAAAGAAGAGACACCCCCACCCCCACCCACUCUUCAAUCA